rnacentral:lncRNA from 1 species
UUUCUUUUCUUUUUUUUCUUUUUUCUUUUUUGGCGGGCUUCUUUGCCCCCCUUUUUUAUUUAGGCUUCUUUGGCCUCCUUUUUUGGGGGCAAUGCUCUAAUAAUGAUGAUCAUCACACUUUUAUUUACUUACAACUCAAUAUUACAACUCGAUACUAGAACAAAGAUAUGACUCUAUAUGAAUUCCUCCGGCGGUGUACCGGGAUGUGCAAUGAUCUAGCGUAGCAAUGACAUCAAAAAAUGGACAAGCCAUGAGAACAUCAUGCUAGCUAUCUUACGAUCAUGCAAAGCAAUAUGACAAUGAAUGCUCAAGUCAUGUAUAUGAUGAUGAUGGAAGUUGCAUGGCAAUAUAUCUCGGAAUGGCUAUGGAAAUGCCAAAAUAGGUAGGUAUGGUGGCUGUUUUGAGGAAGAUAUAAGGAGGCUUAUGUGUGACAGAGUGUAUCAUAUCACGGGGUUUGGAUGCACCGGCGAAGUUUGCACCAACUCUCGAGGUGAGAAAGGGCAAUGCACGGUACCGAAGAGGCUAGCAAUGAUGGAAGGGUGAGAGUGCGUAUAAUCCAUGGACUCAACAUUAGUCAUAAAGAACUCACAUACUUAUUGCAAAAGUUUAUUAGCCCUCGAAGCAAAGUACUACUACGCAUGCCCCUAGGGGGAUAGAUUGGUAGGAAAAGACUAUCGCUCAUCCCCGACCGCCACUCAUAAGAAAGACAAUCAAUAAAUACCUCAUGCUCCGACUUUGUUACAUAACAGUUCACCAUACGUGCAUGCUACGGGAAUCACAAACCUCAACACAAGUAUUUCUACUAAUCCACAACUACCCACUAGCAUGACUCUAAUAUCACCAUCUUUAUAUCGCAAAACUAUUGCAAGGAAUCAAACAUAUCAUAUUCAGUGAUCUACAAGUUUUAUGUAGGAUUUUAUGACUAACCAUGUGAAUGACCAGUUCCUGUCAUCUCUCUAUAUAGAUAUAAGUGAAGCAAGAGAGUUUAAUUAUUUCUACAAAAGAUAUGCCCACGCUCUAACAAAUAUAAGUGAAGCAAAAGAGCAUUCUACAAAUGGCGCUUUUCUAUGUAAAGAGAAACAAGCAAUCCAAACUUCAAAUGAUAUAAGCGAAGCACAUGAAGCAUUCUAUAAAGCCAUACUCAACAGAUAUAAGUGAAGUGCAUAGAGAAUUCUAUAAAUCAACCAAGGACUAUCUCAUACCAGAAUGGUGCAUAAAAUAAAAAUUAAAACUAAAUGCAAAAGACGCUCCAAGAUUGCACAUAUCGCAUGAACGAAACGAAUCCGAAAACAUACCGAUACUUGUUGAAGAAAGAGGGGAUGCCUUCCGGGGCAUCCCCAAGCUUAGACGCUUGAGUCUCCUUGAAUAUUUACUUGGGGUGCCUCGGGCAUCCCCAAGCUUUAGCUCUUGCCUCUCUUCCUUCUUCUCACAUCGAGACCUUCUCGAUCAUCGAACACUUCAUCCACACAAAACUUCAACAGAAAACUCGGUAAGAUCCGUUAGUAUAAUAAAGCAAAUCACUACUCUAAGUACUGUUGCAAACCAAUUCAUUUUUUUCCAUUGUGUCUACUUUAAUAUAACUUCUUCAUGGCUUAAUCCACUGAUAUGAAUCGAUAGUUUCAUCAAAACAAGCAAACUAUGCAUCAAACACAGAAUCUGUCUAAAACAGAACAGCCUGUAAUAAUCUGAACAUUCACCAUACUUCUGAUACUUGAAAAAUUCUGCCAAAAUUAGGAAAAAUAAAAAAUUUGUAUAGAAAGACAGUUCAGAAAGAAUCAGAACCAUUUGACGUUCUAGCUAAAAAUCUAAAAUCGCGCACUACAGCCACAGUUUCUGUCCUGCACCGUACAGACCAUCAAGCAAAUGUAAACAUCCUAAAGGCAAACCUUGGCACAUUAUUUUUAUGAUACAAUGGAAUUUUACAAGGGGAUAAUUAUUUUUGUUGAAAAGUUUCUGUAAUCAAGAUUCACAAAGUUGCCGUGAGCAUGAACAAAGUUCAAGGAGCUCUCCCACUUCAACAAUGCUUGUCUUUCUCACUUUCACUUUCCUUUUUGAAAAAGUUUUGGGUUCCCCUAUUUAUUUUGUUGUUUUUAAACUAUAUGAAAGCACUCAACAAAAGUAAAUGACUCUCUAAAACUUCCGGGUUGUCUCCCUGGCAGCGCUUUCUUUAAAGCCAUUAAGCUAGGCAUAUAGUGCUCAAGUAGUGAAUCCACCUGGAUCCCAAGGUAUAUCAAAGCCAAUUUUAAUUAACAAUGAUUUGUAAUUUAGUAGUGAGCACUAAGUAACAUAUAUCAUGUAACAACGAAGUCUACUCUCUUCCUAUGCAUUGGCAUGUCAUAACAGAACAAUUCAUGCACACAUAGUAAAGGCCAAUGCAUAACAUAAGCAGUUUCUUGCAAUUUUAUCAUAUUGGAAACAUAGGGAGGUGGAGAUAUAGUUCCUCUCUCAUAAUAAUUGCAAGUAGGAGCAACAAGCACAUGCAUAUUAUAUUCAUCAAAAUCAUCAUGUGCAAUGGUAAAAGGCAACCCAUCAAUAUAAUCCUUAAUAAGUGCAAACUUCUCCGAUAUAGUGUAGUCGGGAGAAUUCAAAAAGAUAAUAGGACUAUCGUGUGUGAGUGCAAUAGCAACAAUUUCAUGUUUAACAUAAGGAACUAUAGCAAGUUCAUCUCCAUAAGCAUAAUUCAUAUUGGCAUCUUGGCCACAAGCAUAGCAAGCAUCAUCAAAAGGGGAUAUUUCAAGAGAAUCAACGGGAUCAUGACAAUCAUCAUAGCAAUCAUCCUUCGGUAAGCACGAAGGGGAAUUAAACAAUGUAUGAGUUGAAGAGUUACUCUCAUUAGAAGGUGGGCACGGGUAGCUAAUCCGCUCUUCCUCCUUUUGUUCUUCGCUCUCCUCCUCAUCUUUUUCAUCCAAUGAGCUCACAGUUUCAUCAAUUUCUUCCUCCAUAGACUCCUGCAAAAUAUUAGUCUCUUCUUGGACAGCGGGCUAGUCCUCAAUAUAUAGUUCAACAUAGGCAUUAGAAGCAUCAUUAUCAUAGCAAUAUUUAAGUAUGUCAAAAUUUUCAGAUUUGUAAAGAGUAGCAUCAUACGUUUCAAUCAAAGAAGCAAUUUCAUAAGCACCCUUAAAAGCAACAAAUUCUUCAAUUUGUUGAACAUCAUAGUAACUAUAAACACCCUUAGCAUACAAAGAUACAAUUCCAUUAUCACUAAACUCACAUUGAUAGGGAAGGUGUUUCUUAGGGUUUUCAGAACAACAAGUAAUAUCAUAUAUUUUGCAUAAAUUCCAAGCAUAGCAUUGCAAACGAUGAAUUUGACCCAGUAAAAUUUUCCCAUUUUCAAAUAUUCGGUGUCGCACAUAACAAGCAUGCUCAUCUAAAGAUUUGCCCUCAACUAAGCUAGUUGGGGUUUCAGCACGAGCACAUAGGGAUAGAAGAUGAUCCAAGUAAUAAGCUUCAGUAGUGUGAUAGAUUUUGAGUGGUUCUUCAACCAUUGGUUUAGUAGGUACAACUAAUUUUUUUGGUAUUUUGCGUUUCCUACCCAUAACUAAAGACAGAAAACAACUAAGAACAACAAAUAAAAAUUACUUAGUGAUAAAGCAAACAAGCACACACGAGAAUAUUCACCCCACGCUAUUGCUCCCCGGCAACGGCGCCAGAAAAAGGUCUUGAUAACCCACAAGUAUAGGGGAUCGCAACAGUUUUCGAUAAGUAAGAGUGUCGAACCCAACGAGGAGCUAAAGGCAGAACAAAUAUUCCCUCAAGUUCUAUCGACCACCGGUACAACUCUACGCACGCUUGAUGUUCACUUUACCUAGGACAAGUAUGAAACUAGAAGUACUUUGUAGGUGUUGUUGGAUAGGUUUGCAAGAUAAUAAAGAUUAUGUAAAUAAAAAGUAGGGGCUGUUUAGAUAAAGACACAACUAAGUUAGUUUUAGUGAAGAGGUUUUUGUUACGAGAAAGUUAUUUGUCCCUAGGCAAUCGAUAACUAGACCGGUAAUCAUUAUUGCAAUUUUAUAUGAGGGAGAGGCAUAAGCUAACAUACUUUAUCUACUUGGAUCAUAUGCACUUAUGAUUGGAACUCUAGCAAGCAUCCGCAACUACUGAAGAUCAUUAAGGUAAAACCCAACCAUAGCAUUAAAGUAUCAAGUCCUCUUUAUCCCAUACGCAACAACCUCCUUACUCGGGUUUGUGUUGCAGUCACUCACGCAACCCAAUAUAAGUGAAUCAUGAACGUAUUGCAACACCCUACAGCAGGGAUCCCUCACGCUUGCGCGACACGGAGAGCACCAUAGGACAGCACCAAUAACAAAACAUGCAACUCAAACCAAUCUUGAUCAUCAAAUAGCCCAUAGGACAAAACAGAUCUACUCAAACAUCAUAGGAUAGCCAUACAUCAUUGGGAAAUAAUAUAUAGCAUUGAUCACCAUGUUUAAGUAGAGAUUACAACGGGUAAGAGAGAGGUUACACCGCUGCAUAGAGGGGGGAAGAGUUGGUGAUGAUGGCGGUGAUGAUGAUGGCCCCCGGUGGCACUCCGGUGCCACCGGAAGCGAGGGAGAGAGAGCCCCCUCCUUCUUCUUCUUCCUUGACCUCCUCCCUAGAUGGGUGAAGGGUUUCCCCUCUAUUCCUUGGCCUCCAUGGCAUGGGAGGGGCGAGAGCCCCUCCGAGAUUGGAUCUGUCUCUCUGUUUCUGCAUUCUGUUCUGCUUCAAACCCGAGAAAGAACUUCAACUCUCCCAUCAUGGACAUCUUGAACUUCGAGGUCAUGAGAGCGGUAAAUUCCUCAUUGAAAGCUUUGUUAGGGGAACCAAAGAUAAUAUCAUCAACAUAUAGUUGGCAUACAAACAACUCCCCUUUGACCUUCUUAGUAAAAAGAGUGGGGUCGAUUUUCCCAAUCUCAAAUCCACGAUCUUGCAGCAACUCGGUAAGGUUCUCAUACCAUGCACGUGGGGCUUGUUUAAGGCCAUAUAGUGCCUUAUCGAGUUGGUACACAUGAUCGGGGAAAUAGGGAUCCUCGAACCCCGGGGGUUGCUUGACAUACACCAACUCAUUAAUAGGACCGUUAAUUAAAGCACUCUUCACAUCCAUUUGUUGCAACUUGAAGUUAUGAUGAGAUGCAUAAGCAAUCAACAAACGAAUAGAUUCAAGGCGAGCAACGGGAGCAAAGGUUUCACCAUAGUCUAUACCCUUGACUUGGGAGUAGCCUUGUGCUACCAACCGAGCCUUGUUGCGAACAAUAAUUCCAUGAGCAUCUUGCUUGUUCUUGAAUAUCCACUUGGUUCCAAUGACAUUAUGGUUCCCCGUUGGCCUUGGAACCAAUCUCCACACCUUGUUGUGCUCAAAGUUGUUGAGUUCUUCAUGCAUGGAAUUAAGCCAGUUCGGAUCCUCGAGUGCCUCAUACAUAUUUUGGGGUUCAACACAAGAAACAAACGCGUGAUGUUCACAAUAGUUUGCCAAUUGUCUACGAGUGCUUACCCCCUUUAUUAAGCUUCCAAGCACAUUAUUCAUGAUAUGACCCUUGGUAGUGAGCUUGGAUGCAAGCUUGGCGGCACGACGGUCCAAUUCCUCCUCAGGAGUGAGUUGAGGAGCGGUAACUUGAUCAUCUUGGGCAUCGUCUUGAGCUUGUUCUUGAUCUUAAACUUGCUCGGUGGUGAGAACUUGACCUUGGGCAUCACUUGGUGGUUCACCAUCAUCUUGUGGUUGAUCUUUCCCUUGAUCUUGUUUGUUUGGUUGAGGGCCUUCACUAUGUUCUUCGGAAGCGUGUGGGUCUUGGGUUGGUGAUGGUGAUGGUUCCACCUGAGUGGAACAUUGUCCUUCUCCUUCAGCCACAAGGAGUUCCUCAAUGGGUAGGAUAUGACCAAUACCCAUUCUUCUUAUGGCUUGGGGAAGAAUUUCAUCACCUACAUCACAAGUACCACUUUGCUCCACUUGGGAGCCGUUAUUCUCAUCAAACUCCACGUUACACGUCUCCUCAAUAAGUCUCGUGGACUUAUUGAGGACACGGUAAGCAUGAGAGUUUGUAGCACAACCAACAAAUAUGCCCUCAUAAGCUCUAGCCUCGAAUUUAGACAAAUGAACACCUUUCUUGAGAAUGAAACACUUACACCCGAACACCUUGAAGUACUUGAGGUUGGGCUUGUUACCGAUGAGUAUCUCAUAUGGAGUCUUUUUCAAGCCUUUACGGAGAUAGAGCCGAUUGGAUGCAUGGCACACGGUGUUGAUGGCUUCGGCCCAAAAGUUGUAUGGAGGCUUGAACUCCGCCAUCAUGGUCCUUGCCGCAUCCAUCAACGUUCGGUUCUUCCUCACCGCUACAUCAUUUUGUUGAGGGGUGUAGGGUGCGGAAUAUUGAUGCUUGAUCCCCUCAUCACUAAGAAACUCAUCCAAGGUGUAGUUCUUGAACUCGGUGCCGUUGUCACUUCUUAUCGUCAAGAUCAUUGCAUUGUGUUGGCGUUGAGCUUCAUUCGCAAAGUCAAUGACGGUUUGUUGGGUCUCACUCUUCCUCUUGAAGAAGUAUACCCAAGUGUACCUUGAAUAAUCAUCCACAAUCACCAAGCAAUACUUUCUACCCCAAGACUUUCAAAGGAUGGAGGCCCAAAGAGAUCCAAGUGAAGGAGCUCCAAAGGUCUCUUUGAGUAAAUAAUAGUCAUGGGAGGGUGAGCCUUCUGAUGUAGCUUUCCUUUGAUACAAGCACUGCAAGCACGAUCUUUGGCAAAACUAACAUUUGUUAGUCCAUGAACAUGGUCCCCCUUGAGAAGACUUUGCAAAGAUCUCAUAUUGACAUGGGCUAAACAACGAUGCCAAAGCCAUCCCACGUCACCUUUAGCCAUUAGGCAUGUCGCGGUCUUAGUGGGUCGCUCCGAAAAGUUAAUCACAUAGAGACCGUUCUCGACAUGCCCAACAAAGGCUACUUUAAGAGUCUUCCUCCACAAGAGGGCCACGGUAUCAAUAUCAAAGAAAGUGGCAAAACCCAUGAGUGCAAGUUGACGAACGGAAAGUAAAUUGUAUGCAAGGGACUCAACAAGCACGACCUUCUCGAUCAUGAGAUCAUGAGAAAUGACAACCUUGCCAAGUCCCAAUACCUUAGAAGACGAUCCAUCACCCCACUCGACAUUGGUGGGCAUAGAUGGAAUCUUGUGCACGUCCACCACCAAGUCCAUGCUUCCGGUCAUAUUAUUUGUGGCUCCACUAUCGAGCAACCUUGAUCCCCCAUCGGAAGCAAACACCUACAAGAGAUCAAUUCUUGGUUUUAGGUACCCAUUAUGUAAUGGGUCCUUUGAUGUUAGUAACAUGGGUCUUAGGAGCCCAAAUAUACCAUUCAAUGUACUCAUAAGGAGAACCAACGAAUUUAGCAUAAACAUGCCCAUCACUACCUCGGCAUAACACAUAGGAAGGGUUAAAGUCGCCGACUUUGUUGGAAGGGAUGGCAUUGCCCUUCUUGACACCACCACCCUUCACAUUGUUCUUAUUCUCCUUAGGAGCACUCUCUCCCUCCUUCACAAAAGUUUGCUUGAGAGAAGGAGGUCAUUUGGCCUUGUCAUUCUUCUUCUUGUUCUUGGACUUGGGUGCGAACCCAAUUCCCUCCUUGGCCACAACUUCCUUUUUAUUGCUCAAAAGGUCGUUGAGGUUCUUCUCACCUUGUAUGCAAGACACAAGGCCUUUCUCAAGUUGCUCCUUCAACUUUGCAUUCUCCUCCACAAGAUGCACAUGCUCACAACAUGGGUUAGUAGCAUUUGCAUUAUCAAUUAAAACCAUAUGAGGAAAAGUGGCUUUCUCCUUGGUUAGCUUCACUUGGAGUUGAUCAUGAGACUCUUUAAGGCUAGCAUGAGUACUCUUCAAGGCCUUGUGAGCCUUGUCAAGUAUAUCAAACUCCUACUUGAGUCUAACAAGAUCAACCCCAAGUUUGUGAAGGAAAUAUGCCCUAGAGGCAAUAAUAAAGUUGUGAUACGUCUCUAACGUAUCUAUAAUUUUUGAUUGUUCCAUGCUAUUAUAUUAUCUGUUUUGGAUGUUAAUGGGCUUAUUUAUACACUUUUAUAUUAUUUUUGGGACUAACCUACUAACCCAAGGCCCCGUGCAAAUUGCUGUUUCUUUUUGCCUAUUUCAGUGUUUCGCAGAAAGAAAUAUCAAAUGGAAUCCAAAUGGAAUGAAACCUUCGGGAGAGUUAUUUUUGGAACAAACGUGAUCCAGGGGACUUGGAGUAGACGUCAAGAAAUCAACGAGGAGGCCACGAGGCAGGGAGGCGCGCCUGCCCCCUGGGCGCGCCCCCACCCUCGUGGGCCCCUCGUAGCUCCACCGACCUACUUCUUCCUCCUAUAUAUGUCCAUAUAGCCUGAAAACAUCCAGGAGCAUCAUAGAACCCUAUUUCCACCGUCGCAACCUUCUGUACCCAAGAGAUCCCAUCUUGGGGCCUAUUCUGGAGCUCCGCCGGAGGGGGAAUCGAUCACGGAGGGCUUCUACAUCAACACUAUAGCCUCUCCGAUGAUGUGUGAGUAGUUUACCACAGACCUUCGGGUCCAUAGUUAUUAGCUAGAUGGCUUCUUCUCUCUCUUUGGAUCUCAAUACAAUGUUCUCCUCGAUCUUCUUGGAGAUCUAUUUGAUUUAACUCUUUUUGUGGUGUGUUUGUCAAGAUCCGAUGAAUUGUGGGUUUAUGAUCAAGUUUAUCUAUGAACAAUAUUUGAUUCUUCUCUGAAAUCUUUUAUGUAUGAUUGGUUAUCUUUGCAAGUCUCUUCGAAUUAUCAGUUUGGUUUGGCCUACUAGAUUGAUCUUUCUUGCAAUAGGAGAAGUGCUUAGCUUUGGGUUCAAUCUUGCGGUGUCCUUUCCCAAUGACAGCAGGGACAACAAGGCACGUAUUUGUAUUGUUGCCAUAGAGGAUAAAAAGAUGGGGUUUAUAUCACAUUGCUUGAGUUUAUCCCUCUACAUCAUGUCAUCUUGCCUAAUGCAUUACUCUGUUCUUAUGAACUUAAUACUCAAGAUGCAUGUUGGAUAGCGGUCGAUGUGCGGAGUAAUAGUAUUAGAUGCACAAUUGUUUCGGUCUACUUGUCACGGAUGUGAUGCCUAUAUACAUGAUCAUGCCUAGAUAUUCUCAUAAUUAUGCACUUUUCUAUCAAUUGCUUGACAGUAAUUUGUUCACCCACCGUAAUACUUAUGCUAUCUUGAGAGAAGCCACUAGUGAAACCUAUGGUCCCCGGGUCUAUCUUUUAUCAUAUAAGUUUCCAAUCUAUUUUAUUUUGCAAUCUUUAUUUUCCAAUCUAUAUCAUAAAAAUACCAAAAAUAUUUAUCUUAUUAUCUCUAUCAAAUCUCACUCUCGUAAGUGACCGUGAAGGGAUUGACAACCCCUUUAUCGCGUUGGUUGCGAGGUUCUUAUUUGUUUGUGUAGGUACGAGGGACUUGCGUGUAGUCUCCUACUGGAUUGAUACCCUGGUUCUAAAAAACUGAGGGAAAUACUUACGCUACUUUGUUGCAUCACCCUUUCCUCUUCAAGGGAAAACCAACGCAGUGCUCAAGAGGUAGCAGGAAGGAUUUCUGGCGCCGUUGCCGGGGAGAUCUACCACAGGUCAAAACAUACCAAGUACCCAUCACAAACUCUUAUUCCUCGCAUUACAUUAUUUGCCAUUUGCCUCUCCUUUUCCUCUCCCCCGCUUCACCCUUGCUGUUUUAUUCGCCCUCUUUUCCGUUUGCCUCUUUUUUCACUUGCCUCUUGUGUGCUUGUGUAUUGGAUUGUUUGUCAUGAUGGCUCAAGAUAAUACUAAAUUGUGUGAUUUUUUGAACACCAACAAUAAUGAUUUUAUUAGCACUCCGAUUGCUCCUCUUACCGAUGCUGAACCUUGUGAGAUUAAUACCACUUUGCUGAAUCUUGUCAUUAAAGAUCCAUUUUCCGGCCUUCCUAGUGAAGAUGCCGCUACCCAUCUAAACAGCUUUGUUGAUUUGUGUGAUAUGCAAAAGAAGAAAGAUGUGGAUAAUGAUAUUGUUAAAUUGAAGCUAUGUCCGUUUUCGCUUAGAGAUCAUGCUAAAACUUGGUUUUCAUCUUUGCCUAAAAAUAGUAUUGAUUCUUGGAACAAGUGCAAAGAUGCUUUUAUCUCUAAGUGUUUUCCUCCCGCUAAGAUCAUCUCUCUUAGAAAUGACAUUAUGAACUUUAAACAACUAGAUCAUGAGCAUGUUGCACAAUCUUGGGAGAGAAUGAAAUUAAUAAUUCGCAAUUGCCCUACACAUGGUUUGAAUUUAUGGAUGAUUAUACAAAUUUUUUAUGCUGGAUUGAAUUUUGCUUCUAGAAAUCUUUUAGAUUCGGCCACGGGAGGCACUUUUAUGGAAAUCACUUUAGGAGAAGCUACUAAACUCUUAGAUAAUAUUAUGGUUAAUUAUUCUCAAUGGCACAACGAAAGAUCUACUAGUAAAAAGGUUCAUGCUAUAGAAGAAAUUAAUGUUUUGAGUGGAAAGAUGGAUGAACUGAUGAAAUUGUUUGCUAAUAAGAGUGUUUCUUAUGAUCCUAAUGAUAUGCCUUUGUCUACCUUUAUUGAGAAUAAUAAUGAAUCUAUGGAUGUGAAUUUUGUUGGUAGGAACAAUUUUGGUAACAACGCGUACAGAUGAAACUUUAAUCCUAGGCCGUAUCCUAGUAAUUCCUCUAAUAAUGAUGGUAAUUCCCACAACAAUUCUUAUGGAAAUUCUAAUAAGAUGCCCUCUGAUUUUGAAUCUAGUAUUAAAGAAUUUAUUAGUUCGCAAAAGAGUUUCAAUGCUUUGAUUGAAGAAAAAUUGUCUAAGAUUGAUGAGUUGGCUAGGAACGUGGAUAGAAUUUCUCUUGAUGUUGAUUCUUUGAAACUUAGAUCUAUUCCACCUAAGCAUGAUAUCAAUGAGUCUCUCAAAGCCAUGAGAAUUUCCAUCGAUGAGUGUAAAGAAAGAACCGCUAGGAUGUGUGCUAAAAAGAUUGCUUUAUAAGAGCGUGUUCAUCUAGUUUUGAUGAUAAUAAGGAUGAAGAUCUAAAAGUGACUGAGGUGUCCUAUUAAAUCUUUAUUUUGCAAUAUGAAUCUUGAUAAUGAUGGGACUGGAUAUGAGUCAACUUUAGUUAAAAGGCGUCCCAAUGAUUCGGAGUUUUUAGAUCUUGAUGCAAAAAUUAAUAAAAGUGGGAUUGAAGAGGUCAAAACUUUACACAUCAAUGAGCCCUCUAUUUUGGAUUUCAAGGAAUUUAAUUAUGAUAAUUGCUCUUUAAUAGAUUGUAUUUCCUUGUUGCAAUCCAUGCCAAAUUCUCCGCAUGCUUAUAGUCAAAAUAAAGCUUUUACCAAACAUAUCAUUGAUGCUUUGAUGCAAUCUUAUGAAGAAAAGCUUGAAUUAGAAGUUUCUAUCCCUAGAAAACUUCAUGAUGAGUGGGAAAGUACUAUUAAAAUUAAAAUUAAAGAUCAUGAAUUCUAUGCUUUAUGUGAUUUGAGUGCUAGCGUUUCCACGAUUCCAAAAACUUUGUGUGAUGUGUUAGGUUUCCGUGAAUUUGAUGAUUGUUCUUUAAACUUGCAUCUUCUGGAUUCCACUAUUAAGAAAGAUAUGGGAAGGAUUAAUGAUGUUAUUAUUGUUGAAAAUAGGAAUUAUGUGCCCAUAGAUUUCAUUGUUCUUGACAUUUAUUGCAAUCCUACAUGUCCCAUUAUUCUUGGUAGACCCUUCCUUAGAACGAUUGGCGCAAUUAUUCAUAUGAAAGAAGGGAAUAUUAGAUUCCAAUUUCCGUUAAGGAAAGGCAUUUAACACUUUCCUAGAAAGAAAAUUAAAUUACCUUAUGAAUCUAUUAUGAGAGCCACCUAUGAAUUGUAUACCAAAGAUGACAAUACCUAGAUCUAUUCUUGCUUUUAUGCCUAGCUAGGGGCGUUAAACGAUAGCGCUUGUUGGGAGGCAACCCAAUUUUAUUUUUGUUUCUUGAUUUUUGGUUCUGUUUUGUAAUAAAUAAUUCAUCUAGCCUUUCUUUAGAUGUGGUUUUAUGCUUUUAAUUAGUGUUUGUGCCAAGUAGAACCUUUGGGAAGACUUGGGGGAAGUUUUAGUGAUCUUGCUGUAAAAAACAGAAACUUUAGCGCUCAUGAGAUUUUCUUCCAUUUUUUUUAUUGGAGAGUGAGAUUAGUUUGAUUAUUUUUUAAGGUGAUUAAUAGACAAAUUCCUCAUGUACACCAAUUUAUUUUAGAAUUUUUGGAGUUACAGAAGUAUUCGAAACCUACAGAUUACUACAGACUGUUCUGUCUUUGACAUAUUCUGUUUUUCCUGUGUUGUUUGCUUAUUUUGAUGAAUCUAUGGCUAGUAUCGGAGGGUAUGAACCAUAGAGAAGUUGUAAUACAGUAGGUUUAACACCAAUAUAAAUAAAUAAUGAGUUCAUUACAAUAUCUUAAGUUGUGGUUUGUUUUCUUAUACUAACGGAACUCAUGAGAUUUUCUGUUGAGUUUGUGUUGUGAAGUUUUCAAGUUUUGGGUAAAGAUUUGAUGGAUUAUGGAAUAAGGAGUUGCAAGAGCCUAAUAUUGGGGAUUAACAAGGCACCCCAAGGUAAAAUUCAAGGAAAACCAAAAGCCUAAGCUUCUGGGGCAUCCCCUCUUUCGUCUUGUUCCAUCGGUAACUUUACUUGAGGCUAUAUUUUUAUUCACCACAUGAUAUGUGUUUUGCUUGGAGCGUCUUGUAUGAUUUGAGUCUUUGCUUUUUAGUUUACCACAAUCAUCCUUGCUGUGCACACCUUUUGGGAGAGACACACAUGAAUUGGAAUUUAUUAGAAUACUCUAUGUGCUUCACUUAUAUCUUUUGAGCUAGAUAAUUUUGCUCUAGUGCUUCACUUAUAUCUUUUAGAGCACGGGGGUGGUUUUAUUUUAUAGAAAUUAUUGAUCUCUCAUGCUUCACUUAUAUUAUUUUGAGAGUCCUUUAGAACAGCAUGGUAAUUUGCUUUGGUUAUAAAAUUGGUCCUAAUAUGAUAGGCAUCCAAGAUUGGUAUUAUAAAAACUAUCAUAAAAAGGGCGUUGAAUACUAUGAAAAGUUGGAUGCUUGAUGAUUGUUUUGAGAUAUGAAGAUGGUGAUAUUAGAGUUGUGCUAGUUGAGUAGUUGUGAAUUUGAGAAAUACUUGUGUUUAAUAUUGCAAGUCUCGUAGCAUGCACGUAUGGUGACCGUUGUGUAACAAAUUUGAAACAUGAGGUGUUCUUUGAUUGUCUUCCUUAUGAGUGGCAGUUGGGGACGAGCGAUGGUCUUUUCCUACCAAUCUACCCCUAGGAGCAUGCGCGUAGUGCUUGGUUUUUGAUGACUUGUAGAUUUGUGCAAUAAGUAUGUGAUUUCUUUAUGACUAAUGUUGAGUCCAUGGAUUAUACGCACUCUCACCCUUCCAUUAUUGUUAGCCUCUUCGGUACCAUGCAUUGCCCUUUCUCACCUUGAGAGUUGGUGCAAACUUCGCCGGUGCAUCCAAACCCCGUGAUAUGAUACACUCUAUCACACAUAAACCUCCUUAUAUCUUCCUCAAAACAGCCACCAUACCUACCUAUUAUGGCAUUUCCAUAGCCUUUCUGAGAUAUAUUGCCAUGCAACUUUCCAUCGUUCCAUUCAUCACGACAUGCUUCAUCAUUAUCAUAUUGCCUUGCAUGAUCAUGUAGUUGACAUCAUUUUGUAGCAAAGCCACCAUGCAUAAUUUAUCAUACAUGUCACUCUUGAUUCAUUGCCCUUCCCGGUACUCCACCGGAGGCAUUCAUAUAGAGUCAUACUUUGUUCUAGUAUCGAGUUGUAAUCAUUGAGUUGUAAAUAAAUAGAAGUGUGAUGAUCAUCAUUAAUAGAACAUUGUCCCAAAUAAAAAAAGAGAAAGGCCGAAAAAGGCCCACAAAAUAAAUAAAAAAGAGAAAUAAAAAGGGACAAUGCUACUAUCCUAUUUUUCCACACUUGUGCUUCAAAGUAGCACCAUGAUCUUUAUGAUAGAGAGUCUCCUAUUUUGUCACUUUCAUAUACUAGUGGGAAUUUUUCAUUAUAGAACUUCACUUGUAUAUUCCAACAAUGGGCUUCCUCAAAUGCCCUAGGUCUUCGCGAGCACGCAAGUUGGAUGCACACCCACUUAGUUUCUUUUGUUGAGCUUUCAUACAUUUAUAGCUCUAGUGCAUCCGUUGCAUGGCAAUCCCUACUCCUUGCGUUGACAUCAAUUGAUGGGCAUCUCCCUAGCACAUUGAUUAGCCGCGUCGAUGUGAGACUUUCUCCUUUUUUGUCUUCUCCACAUAACCCCCAUCAUAUUAUUCUAUUCCACCCAUAGUGCUAUAUCCAUGGCUCACGCUCAUGUAUUGCGUGAAAGUUCAAAAAAAGGUUGAGAUUACUAAAGUAUGAAACAAUUGCUUGGCUUGUCAUCAGGGUUGUGCAUGAUGAGAGCAUUCUUGUGUGACGAAAAUGGAGCAUGAUCAAACUAUAUGAUUUUGUAGGGAUGAACUUUAUUUUGCCAUAUGUUAUUUUGAGAAGACAUGAUUGCUUAGUUGGUAUGCUUGAAGUAUUGUUGUUUUUAUGUCAAUAUUAAACUUUUGUCUUGAAUCUUUCAGAUCUGAAUAUUCAUGCCACAAUAAAGAAGAUUACAUUGAGAAUUAUGCUAGGUAGCAUUCCACAUCAAAAAUUCUGUUUUUAUCAUUUACCUACUCGAGGACGAGUGAUGACCCACAAGUAUAGGGGAUCUAUCAUAGUCCUUUCGAUAAGUAAGAGUGUCGAACCCAACAAGGAGCAGAAGGAAAUGAUAAGCGGUUUUCAGCAAGGUAUUCUCUGCAAGUACUGAAAUAAGUGGUAACAGAUAGUUUGUGAUAGGAUAAAUUGUAACGAGCAACAAGUAACAAAAGUAAAUAAAGUGCAGCAAGGUGGCCCAAUCCUUUUGUAGCAAAGGACAAGCCGGAACAAACUCUUAUAAUAGGAAAAGCGCUCCCGAGGACACAUGGGAAUAUCGUCAAGCUAGUUUUCAUCACGUUCAUAUGAUUCGCGUUCGAUACUUUGAUAAUUUGAUAUGUGGGUGGACCGGUGCUUGGGUGCUGUUCUUACUUGAACAAGCAUCCCACUUAUGAUUAAUCUCUAUUGCAAGCAUCCGCAACUACAACAAAAGUAUUAAGGUAAACCUAACCAUAGCAUGAAACAUAUGGAUCCAAAUCAGCCCCUUACGAAGCAACACAUAAACUAGGGUUUAAGCUUCUGUCACUCUAGCAACCCAUCAUCUACUUAUUACUUCCCAAUGCCUUCCUCUAGGCCCAAAUAAUUGUGAAGUGUUAUGUAGUCGACGUUCACAUAACACCACUAGAGGCUAGACAACAUACAUCUUAUCAAAAUAUCGAACGAAUACCAAAUUCACAUGACUACUCAUAGCAAGACUUCUCCCUUGUCCUCAGGAACGAACGUAAUUACUCACAAAGCAUAUUCAUGUUCAUAAUCAGAGGGGUAAUAAUAUGCAUAUAGGAUUUGAACAUAUGAUCUUCCACCAAUUAAACCAACUAGCAUCAACUACAAGGAGUAAUCAACACUACUAGCAACCUACUAGCACCAAUCCCGGACAUUGAGACAAGAAUUGGAUACAAGAGAUGAACUAGGGUUUGGAGAUGAGAUGGUGCUGGUGAAGAUGUUGAUGGAGAUUGCCCUCUCCCGAUGAGAGGAGCGUUGGUGAUGACGAUGGUGAUGAUUUCCCCCUCCGGGAGGGAAGUUUCCCUGGCAAAACAGCUCUGCCGGAGCUCUAGAUUGGAUCCGCCAAGGUUCCGCCUCGUGGCGGCGGAGUCUCGUCCCGAAAAGUUCCUUCUUCUUUUUUCUCAUCGAAAGACCUCAUAUAGGAGAAGAUGGGCAUCGGAGAGCCACCAGGGGGCCUACGAGGUAGGGGGCGCGCCAUAGGGGGGGCGCCCCCACCCUCGUGAGAAGGGUGUGGGCCCCCUGGCCUUCAUCUUUGGCGUGGAUUUUUCUUUAUUUAUUUUAAGACGUUCCGUGGAGUUUCAGGACUUUUGGAGCUGCGCAUAAUAGGUCUCUAAUAUUUGCUCCUUUUCCAUACCAGAAUUCCAGCUGCAGGCAUUCUCCCUCCUUAUGUAAACCUUGUAAAAUAAGAGAGAAUAUCCAUAAGUAUUGUGACAUAAAGUGAAAUAACAGUCCAUAAUGCGAUAAAUAUCGAUACAAAAGCAUGAUGCAAAAUGGACGUAUCAACCCCCCCAAGCUUAGACCUCGCUUGUCCUCAAGCGAAAAGCCGAUAACAAUAAAUAUGUCCUCAUGUUUAGAGGUAGAGGCAUCGAUAAAAAUAAAAUACGGACAUGAAGGCAUCAUGAUUAUUCUUAUAACAGCAACAUAUAUAGAUUUUGUCAUAUGAUUACUUAUGUUCAAGUGAUGAUCUAUUCACAAUGCAAAAGUAUAAAUCAUAAACUUUAUUGGGCUCCAACAAACUAUACUCUCAGUCAUUGAAGCAAUUGAAAUUUAUCAUAACAUCGGAAAGAGUCUAUGUUAGAGCUAAAAAGCAAGUCCACAUACUCAACUAUCAUUUAGUCCUCCAUAAUUGCUAACACUCACGCAAUACUUGUGGUUACGGAGUUUUAAUCGGACACAGAGAAAGAUAGGGGCUUAUUGUUUUGCCCCACAACUUUUUACCUCGAGGGUAAUGUCAGCAAUAAUGGUUCAUGCUCCCCUACAUCCAAUUAUAUAUAUAUAUAUAUAUAUAUAUAUAUAUAUAUAUAUAUAUAUAUCAUGUUCUUUCCAACAUGCUGAGCUUGCCAAAGGAUUAAAUGAAAAAGGAAAGGUGAAGAUCACCGUGACUCUUGCAUAAGGUAGAAGAUAAUAAUAAAGGAUAGGCCCUUCGCAGAGGGAUGCAGAGGUUGCCAUGCGCUUUUAUGGUUGGAUAUAUAAAAUCUCAAUGCGAAAGAACGUCACUUUAUAUUGCCCCUUCUGAUAUGAACCUUUAUUAUGCAGUCCGUCGCUUUUAUUACUUCCACAUCACAAGAUCGUAUAAAGCUUAUUUCUCCCGCACCAAUCAAUCAUACACAUUUAGAGCAAUUUUUAUUGCUUUGCACCGAUGACAACUUACUUGAAGGAUCUUACUCAAUCCAUAGGUAGAUAUGGUGGACUCUCAUGGCAAAAUUGGUUUAAGGGUAUUUGGAAGCACAAGUAGUAUUUCUACUUGGUGCUGAGAAUUUGGCUAGCAUGAGGGGGAAAGGAAAGCUCAACAAGUUAGAGGAACCAUGACAACAUACUUUAUCUCAGAUAUAAGAAAUACAUAACUCAUUACGUUGUCUUCCUUGUCCAACAUCAACUCUUUAGCAUGUCAUAUUUUAAUGAGUGCUCCCAAUCAUAAAAGAUGUCAAUGAUAAUAUAUCCAUAUGUAAAAACCUCUCUUUCCUGAUUACUUCCUAUUAAUUGCAACAGUGACCAAAGCUAUGCCUGCCAAUUCCCAACAACUUUUAAUCAUCAUACUCUUUCUAUGUGAAGUCAUUACUCUCAAUAAGAUCAAUAUGAACUUUUUGUUUCUUUUUAUUCUUUUUCUCUUUUCUUUUAUUCACCCAAGAUCAUAGCAAAAUAAUCAAGCCCUUGACUCAACACUAAUCUUUAUUAUAUAUAACUCACGGACUCGAUUACAUAGAGAGAUCAUAAAGCAAAAACUCAAAACUAGAUCAUGCCAUAAACUUUAUUCUACUAGAUCAUGCCAUAAACUUUAUUCUACUAGAUCAAGAUACUACUAAUAGGAUCGAACUAAAAACAUGGUAAAGAUAGGAGUUAUGAUUGUGAUACGAUACCGGGGCACCUCCCCCAAGCUUGGCAGUUGCCAAGGGGAGUGCCCAUACCCAUGUGAUUAUAUCUCCUUGGUUGGUGAAGAAGGUGGAGGUGACGGAUAAUCGCACAUCGAGCGUAAGAGGUCCUCCAUCUUGCGAAUAAUGCCCUUGAGUGCGACAAUAUGCUCCUUCAACAAAAUAUUUUCUUGUGUGAGAUACUUGUUUUGAACAUGAGCUAACUCAAUCAUCUUGAAAGCUUCGAUCUCAGUUGGGGUAAGAAGGUUAUGAUCAAUUUGAAGGGUGUCUUCUGCUGCUGGAGCUUGAUCCUCCGUGGCCUUCUUGAUCCUUUCAUCCUUGUUGACCUUCGUGGGUUCUUCCCUCUUCAGAUCUAUCUUCAUUAGCCAAGCAUCGUUGUCACCAUUGUUGGAGGAGGGAGACGACAUGAUGCCUAGCCUGGAAAACCCUAAUAGAAAACAGCUCGAAACGAAAACAAAGGAGGUUUGCGUGAUACGGGAGUCAAGACCUUUGGGAGAAUAUAUAAUGAAUUUUUACCGACCAAAAUACGUAACGUGCAAGAAAAUGGAGUCCGGAAGGCACACGAGGUGCUCACGAGGUAGGGGGGCGCGCCCAGGGGGUAGGGCGCGCCCACCACCCUCGUGGGGCCCUUGUGUCCUUCCCGGACUGCUACUUAUUUUUCUAUUUUUCUAAAUAUUCCAAAACGGAGAAAUAUUGCCUUAAAAAUUGUUUUGGAGUCGGUUUACUUACCGUACCACAUACCUAUUCCUUUUCGGAGUCUGAAACGUUCCGGAAAGUGUCCCUUAUGUAUUCCUCUGGGGUUACGGUUUCAAUAAUAUUGGUUUCAACAUUUAUGGGAUUACCUGAGAUAUAAUGUUUAAUUCUUUGACCGUUUACCACCUUCAGAUUUGUGCCCUCGAAGUUGUUGAUUUUUAUGGCACCGGAACGAUAGACCUCUUCGAUAACAUAGGGGCCUUCCCAUUUAGAGAGAAGUUUUCCUGCAAAAAAUCUUAAACGAGAGCUGUAUAGCAAUACAUAAUCACCUACAUUAAACUCACGCUUUUGUAUCCUUUUGUCAUGCCAUCUUUUAACUUUUUCUUUAAACAACUUGGCAUUUUCAUAAGCUUGGGUUCUCCAUUCAUCAAGUGAGCUAAUAUCAAAUAACCUCUUCUCACCGGCAAGUUUAAAAUCAUAGUUAAGCUCUUUAAUAGCCCAAUAUGCCUUAUGUUCUAGUUCGAGAGGUAAGUGACAUGCUUUUCCAUAAACCAUUUUAUAUGGAGACAUACCCAAAGGAUUUUUGUGUGGAGUUCUAUAAGCCCAUAAUGCAUCAUCAAGUUUCUUAGACCAAUUCUUUCUAGACCUAUUAACAGUCUUUUGCAAAAUUAAUUUGAGCUCUCUAUUGCUCAACUCUACUUGACCACUAGACUGUGGGUGAUAAGGAGAUGCAAUUCUAUGAUUAACAUCAUAUUUAGCAAGCAUUUUACGGAAAGCACCAUGAAUAAAGUGUGAACCACCAUCAGUCAUUAAAUAUCUAGGGACUCCAAACCUCGGAAAAAUAACUUCCUUAAGCAUUUUAAUAGAAGUGUUAUGAUCAUCACAACUAGUUGGAAUAUCUUCUACCCACUUAGUGACGUAAUCAACAACAACUAAAAUAUGUGUGUAUCCAUUAGAGGCAGGAAAAGGUCCCAUAUAAUCAAAGCCCCAAACAUCAAACAGUUCAAUUACAAGAGAAUAAUUCAUAGGCAUUUCUUGACGUCUACUAAUAUUACCAAUUCUUUGACAUUCAUCACAAGACAAGACAAACUUACGGGCAUCCUUGAAGAGAGUAGGCCAAUAAAAACCAGAUUGCAAUACCUUAUGUGUAGUUCUAUCUCCAGCGUGGUGUCCUCCAUAAGAUUCGGAAUGACACUUGCGUAGGAUCUGUUCCUGUUCAUGCUCAGAUACACAACGUCUAAUAACACCAUCUACUCCUUCUUUAUAAAGAUGUGGGUCAUCCCAAAAGUAAUGUCUUAAAUCAUAGAAGAACUUUUUCUUUUGCUGGUAUGUGAAGCUAGGUGGUAUAAAUUUAGCAACAAUAUAAUUAGCAUAAUCAGCGUACCAUGGAGUACUACGAGAAGUACUUAUAACAUUUAAUUGUUCAUCAGGAAAGUCAUCAUUAAUAGGUAGUGGCUCAUCAAGAAUAUUUUCUAACCUAGACAGGUUGUCUGCAACGGGGUUCUCAGCUCCCUUUCUAUCAACAAUAUGCAAAUCAAAUUCUUGUAGCAAGAGAACCCAUCUGAUAAGUCUAGGUUUAGCAUAUUUCUUUUCCAUAAGAUAUUUAAUAGCACAUGAUCAGUUUGAAUAGUGACUUUAGAAUCAACAAUAUAAGAUCUGAACUUAUCACAAGCAAAUACAACUCCUAAAAGCUCUUUUUCAGUAGUAGCAUAAUUUCUUUGAGCAUUGUCUAGAGUCUUACUAGCAUAAUGAAUAACAUUUAAUUUCUUAUCAACUCUUUGCCCUAGAACAGCACCUACAGUAUAAUCACUAGCAUCACACAUAAUUUCAAAGGGUAAGUUCCAAUCAGGUGGUUGAACAACAGGUGCAGAGACUAAUGUUUUCUUAAGUAUUUAAAAUGCUUCUACACAAUCAUCAUCAAAGACAAAUCGUAUAUCUUUUUGCAAUAAAUUAGUCAGAGGCCGAGAAAUUUUUGAGAAGUCCUUAAUGAACCUCCUGUAAAAUCUGGCGUGACCUAGGAAACUUCUUAUACCUUUGAUGUCCUUGGGACAUGGCAUCUUUUAAAUAGCAUCAACCUUGGAUUUAUCAACUUCAAUACCUCUUUCAAAAACUUUGUGCCCCAAGACAAUACCUUCAUUAACCAUAAAGUGACACUUUCCCAAUUCAAGACAAGAUUAGUUUAUUCACAUCUCUGCAAAACUCGAUCAAGAUUGCUCAAGCAAUCAUCAAAAGAGGAACCAUAGACAGAAAAGUCGUCCAUGAAAACCUCACAAAUCUUUUCACAAAAGUCAGAGAAUAUAGCCAUCAUGCAUCUUUGAAAGGUAGCAAGUGCAUUACAUAAACCAAAAGGCAUACGUCUAUAAGCAAAAGUACCAAAAGGGCAUGUAAAAGUAGUCUUUGAUUGAUCUCUAGCCGACACAGGUAUUUGAGAGAAACCAGAAUAACCAUCUAGAAAGCAAUAGUGUGUUUGUUUGCAUAAUCUUUCUAGCAUUUGAUCAAUAAAAGGUAAGGGGUAAUGAUCUUUCUUAGUAGCUUUAUUUAAUUUGUGGAAAUCAAUUACCAUCCUAUAACCUGUGAUAAUUCUUUGUGGAACCAAUUCAUCUUUAUCAUUAGGAACAACAGUAAUACCUCCCUUCUUAGGGACACAAUGGACAGGACUUACCCACUCAAUAUCAGCAACGGGAUAUAUUAUACCUGCCUCCAGAAGCUUUAGUAUUUCUUUUCUUACCACUUCUUUCAUUUUAGGAUUCAGACGUCGUUGAGGAUCAUGAACUGGUUUGGCAUCUGCUUCCAAAUUUAUUUUAUGUUGACAUAGAGUGGGACUAAUGCCCUUAAGAUCAUCAAGAGUAUAUCCAAUAGCAGCACGAUGCUUCUUCAGAGUUUCCAAUAAUCUUUCUUCUUCAUGCUCUGAAAGGUUAGCACUAAUAAUAACAGGAUAUAUCUUCUUUUCACCAAGAUAAGCAUAUUUAAGAUUAUCAUGCAAAGGUUUAAGCUCAAACACGGGACCACCCUUGGGUGGAGGAGGAUCCCCUAGGAUUUCGAUAGGCAAAUUGUGUUUCAGAACAGGUUCCUAUUUAAAUAAUACUUCAUCUAUUUCCCUUCUUUCAUUCAUGAACAUAUCAUUUUCAUGGUCUAGCAAAUAGUGUUCGAAAGGAUCACUAGGAGGUACGGCAAUAGAAGCAAGACCAAUAAUUUCAUCCUUACUAGGCAAUUCUUCCUCACGAUGUUGUUUACUAAAUUUAGAGAAAUUAAACUCAUGAACCAUAUCAUCCAAACCAAUAGUAACAAUAUUCUUAGUGCAGUCUAUGGUAGCAUUGACAAUAUUCAAGAAGGGUCUACCAAAUAUAAUGGGACAAAAGCUAUCUUGUGGGGAACCAAGAACAAGAAAAUCAGCAGGAUAUUUAGUUUUCCCACGCAAGACUUCAACAUCUCUAACAAUUCCCAUUGCUGAAAUAGUAUCUCUCUUAGCAAGUUUAAUAGUAACAUCAAUAUCUUCUAACUCAACAGGUGCAAUUUCAUUCUUAAUUUCUUCGUAUAAAGUAUGCGGUAUAACACUAGCACUAGCACCCAUAUCACAUAAGCCAUGAUAACAAUGAUCUCCUAUUUUAACAGAAAUAACAGGCACGCCUACAACAGGUCUAUGUUUAUCUUUAGCACAAGGUUUAGCAAUUCUAGCAGUUUCACCUUCGAACUGAAUAACAUGUCCAUCAAUAUUAUCAGAUAAGAGAUCUUUAACAAUAGCAAUAUUAGGUUCUACUUUAACUUGCUCAGGAGGUGUAUAAGUUCUAAUAUAGCUUUUACGAACAACAGUUGAAGCUUUAGCAUGAUCCUUUAUUCUAACGGGGAAAGGUGGUUUCUCACUAUAAGAAGUAGGAACAAUAGGAUCAUUAUAAGUGACAAUCUUUUCUUCAACUUUAAUAGGUGCAGCUACUUUUAUUUCUAUGGGAGGAUGAUAUUUAAACCACUUCUCCUUAGGGAGAUCAACAUAAGUAGCAAAAGAUUCACAGAAACAAGCUACUAUCUCAGAGCCACGUCCAUAUUUAGUGCUAAACUUACAGAAAAUAUCGGUAUCCAUAAAAGAUUUAACACAAUCAAACUUAGGUGUCAUACCUGACUCCUUACCUUCGUCGAGGUUCCAAUCUUCAGAGUUGCGUUUAUUCUAUCCAAUAAAUUCCAUCUGAAUUCAAUAGUCUUCAUCAUAAAAGAGCCAACACAAGAAGUAUCGAGCAUGGUGCGAUUGUUUUCAGAAAGCCAAGCAUUAAAACUUUUCAUAAUUAUUUCUCUUGAGAGCUCAUGAUUGGGGCAUGAAUAUAACAUUGAUUUAAGACUCCCCCAAGCUUGAGCGAUGCUUUCUCCUUCGCAAGGCCAGAAAUUAUAUAUAUAAUUGCGAUCACGAUGAACAAGAUGCAUAGGGUAAUACUUUUGAUGAAAUUCCAGCUUCAAUCUUUUAUAGUCCCAUGAUCUCAUAUCAUCACAUAGCCUAUACCAUAUCAAUGCGUCUCCCUUCAAAGAUAAAGGGAAGACUUUCUUCUUAGCAACAUCAUCAGGUAUACUUGCAAGCUUAAAUAAUCCACAAACUUCAUCCACAUAUAUUAAGUGCUCAUCCGGAUGCUUUGUUCCAUCUCCUGUAAAAAGAUUAGCUAGCAGUUUUUCUAUCAUACCCGAAGGAUACUCAUAAGGAAUUUCAUUUUCAAUAGGUUAAGUAGAUUGAGGAGCAACUCUUUGCUCUACUGGUCGGGGUGAAGAUACCCCGAACAAGCCCCUCAGAGAAUUACUUUCCAUAGUAACAAGUGACAGUAAAUUUCAGCACACUAUAUAAAUUUUUCCUUACCAAAUUCCACCUACCAAAGGCGCUACACUCCCCGGCAACGGCGCCAGAAAAGAGUCUUGAUGACCCACAAGUAUAGGAGAUCUAUCGUAGUCCUUUCGAUAAGUAAGAGCGUCGAACCCAGUGAGGAGCAGAAGGAAAUGAUAAGCGGUUUUCAGCAAGGUAUUCUCUGCAAGUACUGAAAUAAGUGGUAACAGAUAGUUUUGUGAUAGGAUAAAUUGUAAUGAGCAACAAGUAACAAAAGUAAAUAAAGUGCAGCAAGGUGGCCCAAUCCUUUUGUAGCAAAGGACAAGCCGGAACAAACUCUUAUAAUAGGAAAAGCACUCCCAAGGACACAUGGGAAUAUCGUCAAGCUAGUUUUCAUCACGUCCAUAUGAUUCACGUUCGAUACUUUGAUAAUUUGAUAUGUGGGUGGACCGGUGCUCGGGUGCUGUUCUUACUUGAACAAGCAUCCCACUUAUGAUUAACCUCUAUUGCAAGCAUCCGCAACUACAACAAAAGUAUUAAAGUAAACCUAACCAUAGCAUGAAACAUAUGGAUCCAAAUCAGCCCCUUAUGAAGCAACGCAUAAACUAGGGUUUAAACUUCUGUCACUCUAGCAACCCAUCAUCUACUUAUUACUUCCCAAUGCCUUCCUUUAGGCCCAUAUAAUGGUGAAGUGUUAUGUAGUCGACGUUCACAUAACACCACUAGAGGCUAGACAACAUACAUCUUAUCAAAAUAUCAAACGAAUACCAAAUUCACAUGACUACUCAUAGCAAGACUUCUCCCUUGUCCUCAGGAACGAACGUAAUUACUCACAAAGCAUAUUCAUGUUCAUAAUUAGAGGGGUAAUAAUAUGCAUAUAGGAUUUGAACAUAUGAUCUUCCACCAAUCAAACCAACUAGCAUCAACUACAAGGAGUAAUCAACACUACUAGCAACAUACUAGCACCAAUCCCAGACUUUGAGACAAGAAUUGGAUACAAGAGAUGAACUAGGGUUUGGAGAUGAGAUGGUGCUCGUGAAGAUGUUGAUGGAGAUUGCCCUCUCCCGAUGAGAGGAGCGUUGGUGAUGACGGUGGUGAUGAUUUCCCUCUCCGGGAGGGAAGUUUCCCCGGCAGAACAGCUCUGCCGGAGCUCUAGAUUGGAUCCGCCAAGGUUCCACCUCGUGGCUGCGGAGUCUCGUCCCAAAAAGUUCCUUCUUCUUUUUCUCUCAUGAAAGACCUCAUAUAGGAGAAGAUGGGCAUCGGAGAGCCACCAGGAGGCCCACGAGGUAGGGGGGCGCGCCCUAGGGGGGGCGCCCCCCACCCUCCUGAGAAGGGUGUGGGCCCCCUGGCCUUCAUCUUUGGCGUGGUUUUUUCUUUAUUUCUUUUAAGACAUUCCGUGGAGUUUCAGGACUUUUGGAGUUGCGUAGAAUAGGUCUCUAAUAUUUGCUCCUUUUCCAGACCAGAAUUCCAGCUGCGGGCAUUCUCCCUCCUUAUGUAAACCUUGUAAAAUAAGAGAGAAUAGCCAUAAGUAUUGUGACAUAAAGUGAAAUAACAGUCCAUAAUGCGAUAACUAUCGAUAUAAAAGCAUGAUGCAAAAUGGACGUAUCAAUGAGCAGGAAUUAAGCUUGGGGAUGAUUGAUACGUCUCCAACGUAUCUAUAAUUUUUGAUUGUUCCAUGCUAUUAUAUUAUCUGUUUUGGAUAUUAAUGGGCUUAUUUAUACACUUUUAUAUUAUUUUUGGGACUAACCUACUAACCCAUGGCUAGUGCAAAUUGCUGUUUUUUUGCCUAUUUCAGUGUUUCGCAGAAAAGGAAUAUCAAACGGAAUCCAAACGGAAUGAAACCUUUGGGAGAGUUAUUUUUGGAACAAACGUGAUCCAGGGGAAUUGGAGUAGAUGUCAAGAAAUCAACGAGGAGGCCAUAAGGCAGGGAGGCGCGCCCCCACCCUCGUGGGCCCCUUGUAGCUCCACCGACCUACUUCUUCCUGCUAUAUAUGUCCAUAUACCCCGAAAACAUCCAGGAGCACCACAAAACCCUAUUUCCACCAUCGCAACCUUCUAUACCCAAGAGAUCCCAUCUUGGGGCCUUUUCCGGAGCUCCACCGGAGGGGGAGUCGAUCACGGAGGGCUUCUACAUCAACACCAUAGCCUCUCCGAUGAUGUGUGAGUAGUUUAUCACAGACCUUCGGUCCAUAGUUAUUAGCUAGAAGGCUUCUUCUCUCUCUUUGGAUCUCAAUACAAUGUUCUCCUCGAUCUUCUUGGAGAUCUAUUUGAUGUAACUCUUUUUGUGGUGUGUUUGUCGAGAUCCGAUGAAUUGUGGGUUUAUGAUCAAGUUUAUCUGUGAACAAUAUUUGAUUCUUCUCUGAAAUCUUUUAUGUAUGAUUGGUUAUCUUUGCAAGUCUCUUCGAAUUAUCAGUUUGGUUUGGCCUACUAGAUUGAUCUUUCUUGCAAUAGGAGAAGUGCUUAGCUUUGGGUUCAAUCUUGUGGUGUCCUUUCCCAGUGACAGCAGGGGCAGCAAGGCACAUAUUGUAUUGUUGCCAUCGAGGAUAAAAAGAUGGGGUUUAUAUCAUAUUGCUUGAGUUUAUCCCUCUACAUCAUGUCAUCUUGCCUAAUGCAUUACUCUGUUCUUAUGAACUUAAUACUCUAGAUGCAUGCUGGACAGCGGUCGAUGUGUGGAGUAAUAGUAUUAGAUGCAGAAUCAUUUCGGUCUACUUGUCGUGGAUGUGAUGCCUAUAUACAUGAUCAUGCCUAGAUAUUCUCAUAAUUAUGCAGUUUUCUAUUAAUUGCUUGACAGUAAUUUGUUCACCCACCGUAAUACUUAUGCUAUCUUGAGAGAAGCCACUAGUGAAACCUAUGGGCCCCGGGUCUAUCUUUUAUCAUAUAAGUUUCCAAUCUAUUUUAUUUUGCAAUCUUUAUUUUCCAAUCUAUAUCAUAAAAAUACCAAAAAUAUUUAUCUUAUUAUCUCUAUCAGAUCUCACUCUCGUAAGUGACCGUGAAGGGAUUGACAACCCCUUUAUCGCGUUGGUUGCGAGCUUCUUAUUUGAUUGUGUAGGUGCGAGGGACUUGCGCGUAGUCUUCUACUCGAUUGAUACAUUGGUUCUCAAAAACUGAGGGAAAUACUUACGCUACUUUGCUGCAUCACCCUUUCCUCUUCAAGGGAAAACCAACGCAGUGCUCAAGAGGUAGCAAGUUGUUAUUUAUAUUUCCUUAUAUCAUGAUAAAUGUUUAUUAUUUAUGCUAGUUGUAUUAUCCAGAAACUUAUUACAUGUGUGAAUACAUAGACAAACAGAGUGUCCCUAGUAUGCCUCUACUUGACUAGCUCAUUAAUCAAAGAUGGUUAAGUUUCCUAGCCAUGGACAUGUGUUGUCAUUUGAUGAACGGGAUCACAUCAUUAGAGAAUGAUCUGAUGGACUAGACCCUUCCAUUAGCUUAGCACUAUGAUCGUUUAGUUUCUUGCUAUUGCUUUCUUCAUGACUUAUACAUGUUCCUAUGACCAUGAGAUUAUGCAACUCCCGAAUACCGGAGGAACACCUUGUGUGCUAUCAAAUAUCACAAUGUAACUGGGUGAUUAUAAAGAUGCUCUACAGGUGUCUCCGAUGGUGUUUGUUGAGUUGGCAUAGAUUGAGAUUAGGAUUUUUCACUCUGUGUAUCGGAGAGGUAUCUCUGGGCCCUCUGGGUAAUGCACAUCGCUAUGAGACUUGCAAGCAAUGUGACUAAUGAGUUAGUCACGGGAUGAUGCAUUACGGAACGAAUAAAGAGACUUGCCGGUAACGAGAUUGAACUAGGUAUGAUGAUACCAACGAUCGAAUCUCGGGCAAGUACCAUAACAACGACAAAGGGAACAACGUAUGUUGUUAUGCGGCUUGACCGAUAAAGAUCUUCUUAGAAUACGUAGGAACUAAUAUGAGCAUCCAGGUUCCACUACUGGUUAUUGACCGGAGAUGUGUCUCGGUCAUGUCUAUAUAGUUCUCGAACCCGUAGGGUCCGCACGCUUAACGUUCGAUGCCGAUAUGUAUUAUCACUUAUGUGAUUUGAUGUACCAAAGGUUGUUUGGAGUCCCGGAUGUGAUCACAGACAUGACGAGGAAUCUCAAAAUGGCCGAGACAUAAAGAUUGAUAUAGUGGAACAUGUUAUUCGGACACCGGAAGUGUUCCGGAUAGUUUUGGAUAAAACCGGAGUGCCGGAGGGUUACCGGAACCCCCCCGGGAAGUUAUGGGCCUUAUUGGGCCUUAGGGGAGAGAGAGGGCCACAGCCAGGAGGUGCCCCCCCAAGGGGAGUCCGAAUAGGACAAGGGGAGGGGGCACGGCCCCUCUUUCCCUCUCCCUCUCCCUCUCCUUCCUUCUUCUCCUAGUUGGACUAGGAAAGGGGGGAACCUACUCCUACUAGGAGUAGCAUUCCCCCCUGGGCGCGCCCCUUGUGGCCGGCCGACCCCCUCCUCUCCUCCUUUAUAUAAGGGGGAGGGGGGGACCCCAUAGACACACAAGUUGAUCUUUAGCCAUGUGUGGUGCCCCCCUCCACAGUUGUACACCUCAGUCAUAUUGUCAUAGUACUUAGGCGAAGCCCUGCGUCGGUAACUUCAUCAUCAUCAUCAACACGGCGUUGUGCUGACGCAACUCACCCUCGGCCUCAGCUAGAUCAAGAGUACGAGGGACAUCACCAAGCUGAACAUGUGCAGAUCUCAGAGGUGCCGUGCGUUCGAUACUUGAUCGGUUGGAUCGCGAAGACAUUUGACUACAUCAACCGCAUUACUAAAUGCUUCCGCUUUCGGUCUACGAGGGUAAGUAGACACACUCUCCCCUCUCGUUGCUAUGCAUAUCCUAGAUAGGUCUUGCAUGACCGUAGGAAUUUUUUUGAAAUACUGCGUUCCCCAACAGUGGUAUCAGAGCCACGUCUAUGCGUAGAUGUUAUAUGCAUGAGUAGAACACAAAGAGUUGUGGGCGAUAAUAGUCAUAUUGCUUACCAGCAUGUCAUACUUUGAUUCGGCGGUAUUGUUGGAUGAAGCGGCCUAGACCGACAUUACAUGACCGCAUUCAUGAGACUGGUUCUACCGACGUGCUUCACACACAAGUGGCUAAUGGGUGUCUGUUUCUCCAACUUUAGUUGAAUCGAGUGUGACUACGCCCGGUCCUUGUUGAAGGUUAAAACAACACACUUGAAGAAAAAUCAUUGUGGUUUUGAUGCGUAGGUAAGAACGGUUCUUGAUAGAAGCCCGUAGCAGCCAUGUAAAACUUGCAACAACAAAGUAGAGGACAUCUAGUUUUUGUAGGGCAUCUUGUGAUGUUAUAUGGUCAAGACGUGAUGAGAUAUAAAUUACUGUAUGAGAUGAUCAUGUUUUGUAACCGUUAUCGGCAACUGGCAGGAGCCUUAUGGUUGUCUCUUUAUUGUAUGAAAUGUAAUAUCCAUGUAAUUGCUUUACUUUAUCACUAAGCGGUAGCGAUAGUCGUAGAAGCAAUAGUUGGCGAGACGACAACGAUGCUACGAUGGAUAUCAAGGUGUCAAGCCGGUGAUGAUGGUGGUCAUGACAGUGCUUUGGAGAUGGAGAUCAAAGGGACAAGAUGAUGAUGGCCAUAUCAUAUCACUUAUUUUGAUUGCAUGUGAUGUUUAUCCUUUAUGCAUCUUAUUUUGCUUAGUAUGGCGGUAGCAUUAUAAGAUGAUCUCUCACUAAAUUUCAAGUUAUAAGUGUUCUCCCUGAGUAUGCACCAUUGCUACAGUUCAUCGUGCCGAGACAUCACGUGAUGAUCAGGUGUGAUAAGCUCUACGUUCAAAUACAACAGGUGCAAGCCAGUUUUGCACAAGCAGAAUACUUGGGUUAAACUUGACGAGCCUAGUGAUGGUAGCUGGAACUACGUCAGUAUUUCCUUGGAGAGGGAGGGAUGAUGUAGCACAACGACAUUAGGUAUUUCCCUCAGUUAUGAAACCAAGGUAUCGAACCAGUAGGAGAACCAAGCAACACAACGUAAGCAGCACCUGCACACAAAUAAAAAAUCCUCGCAACCCGACGUGUUAAAGGGGUUGUCAAUCCCUUUCUGGUAAGGGCGCCAGAAAUUGCGUGUGACGGGAGAUAAAAUUGUAAUAGAUUGAAAUAAUAGAUCGCAAAUAAAAUAGAGUGCAACAAAGUAUUUUUGGAUUUUUGGUUUAAUAGAUCUUAAUAAAAAUGCAAAGGAAAAGUAGAUCGCAAGGCAAAUAUAUGAGAAAGAAGACCCGGGGGCCGUAGGUUUCACUAGUGGCUUCUCUCGAGAAAAAUAGCAAACAGUGGGUAAACAAAUUAUUGUUGGGCAAUUGAUAGCACCUCAAAUACUUAUGACGAUAUCCAUGCAAUGAUCCUUACAUAGGCAUCACGUCCAAGAUUAGUAGACCGACUCCUGCCUACAUCUACUACUAUUACUCCACACAUCGACCGCUUUCUAGCAUGCAUCUAGUGUAUUAAGUUCAUGGAAAAAUGGAGUAAUGCAAUAAGAAUGAUGACAUGAUGUAGACAAGAUCCAUUUAUCUAUAUGGCGGUAGAUAUAGAUUUAAUAUUUUUAUCCUUAGUAGCAACGAUACAUACUUUUGAUGUUCUCAAACUUUUUCAAUCUUCACGCAAUAUAUGAGCGUGAGCCAUGGACAUAGCACUAUAGGUGGAAUAUAAUGGUGGUUGUGGAGAAGACAAAAAAGGAGAAGAUAGUCUCACAUCAACUAGGCGUAUCAACGGGCUAUGGAGAUGCCCAUCAAUAGAUAUCAAUGUGAGUGAGUAGGGAUUGCCAUGCAACGGAUGCACUAGAGCUAUAAGUGCAUGAAAGCUCAAAAAGAAACUAAGUGGGUGUGCAUCCAACUCGCUUGCUCACGAAGACCUAGGGCAUUUUGAGGAAGCCCAUCAUUGGAAUAUACAAGCCAAGUUCUAUAAUGUAAAAUUCCCACUAGUAUAUGAAAGUGAUAACAUAGGAGACUCUCUAUCAUGAAGAUCAUGGUGCUACUUUGAAGCACAAGUGUGGUAAAAGGAUAGUAGCAUUGUUCCUUCUAUCUUUUUCUCUCAUUUUUUCUUUCCCUUUUUUCUCUUUUUUUAUUGUUCGUCCGGAGUCUCAUCCCGACUUGUGGGGGAAUCAUAGUCUCCACUAUCCUUUCCUCACAUGGGAAAAUGCUCUAAUAAUGAUGAUCAUCACACUUUUAUUUACUUACAACUCAAGAAUUACAACUCGAUACUAGAACAAAAUAUGACUCUAUGUGAAUGCCUCCGGCGGUGUACCGGGAUAUCCAAUGAAUCAAGAGCGACAUGUAUGAAAGAAUUAUAAAGGUGGCUUUGCCACAAAUACGAUGUCCACUACAUGAUCACGCAAAGCAAUAUGACAAUGAUGAAGCCUGUCAUAACAAACGGAACGGUGGAAAGUUGCAUGGCAAUAUAUCUCGGAAUGGCUAUGGAAAUGCCAUAAUAGGUAGGUAUGGUGGCUGUUUUGAGGAAGGUAUAUGGUGGGUGUAUGAUACCAGCGAAAGGUGCGCGGUAUUAGAGAGGCUAGCAAUGGUGGAAGGGUGAGAUUGCAUAUAAUCCAUGGACUCAACAUUAGUCAUAAAGAACUCACAUACUUAUUGCAAAAAUCUAUUAGUUAUCAAAUCAAAGUACUACCCGCAUGCUCCUAGGGGUAUAGAUUGGUAGGAAAAGACCAUCACUCGUCCCCGACCGCCACUCGUAAGGAAGACAAUCAAUAAAUAAAUCAUGCUCCGACUUCAUCACAUAACGGUUCACCAUACGUGCAUGCUACGAGAAUCACAAACUUUAGAACAAGUAUUUCUCAAAUUCACAACUACUCAACUAGCAUGACUCUAAUAUCACCAUCUUCAUAUCUCAAAACAAUCAUCAAGUAUCAAACUUCUCAUAGUAUUCAAUGCACUUUUUAUGAUAGUUUUUAUUAUACCCAUCUUGGAUGCCUAUCAUAUUAGGACUAAUUUUAUAGCCAAAGCAAAUUACCAUGCUGUUCUAUAAGACUCUCAAAAUAAUAUAAGUGAAGCAUGAGAGAUCAAUAAUUUUUAUAAAAUAAAACCACCACCGUGCUCUAAAAGGAUAUAAGUGAAGUACUAGAGCAAAAUUAUCCAGCUCAAAAGAUAUAAGUGAAGCACAUAGAGUAUUCUAAUAAAUUUUGAUUCAUGUGUGUCUCUCCAAAAGGUGUGUACAGCAGGGAUGAUUGUGGUAAAAUAAAAAGCAAAGACUCAAAUCAUACAAGACGCUCCAAGCAAAACACAUAUCAUGUGGUGAAUAAAAAUAUAGCCUCAAGUAAAGUUACCGAUGGAAGAAGACGAAAGAGGGGAUGCCUUCCGGGGCAUCCCCAAGCUUAGGCUUUUGGUUGUCCUUGAAUUUUACCUUGGGGUGCCUUGGGCAUCCCCAAGCUUAGGCUCUUGCCAAUCCUUAUUCCAAAAUCCAUCAAAUCUUUACCCAAAACUUGAAAACUUCACAACACAAAACUCAACAGAAAAUCUCAUGAGCUCCGUUAGUAUAAAGAAAACAAACCACCACUUCAAUGUACUGUAAUGAACUAAUUCUUUAUUUAAAUUGGUGUUAAACCUACUGUAUUCCAACUUCUCUAUGGUUCAUACCCCCUGAUACUAGCCAUAGAUUCAUCGAAAUAAGAAAACAACACACGAAAAAUAGAAUCUGUCAAAAACAGAACAGUCUGUAGUAAUAUGUAGGUUUCAAAUACUUCUGUAACCCCCAAAAUUCUGAAAUAAAUUGUCGGGCAUGAGGAAUUUGUCCAUUAAUCAUAUGCAAAAAGAAUCAACCUAAUCGCACUCUCCAGUAAAAAAAUGGCAGCAAAUCUCGUGAGCGCUAAAGUUUCUGUUUUUUACAGCAAGAUCGCAAAGACUUCCCCCAAGUCUUCCCAACGGUUCUACUUGGCACAAACACUAAUUAAAAACAUAAAACCACAUGUAAAUAGAGGCUAGAUGAAUUAUUUAUUACUAAACAGGAACAAAAAACAAGAAGCAAAAAUAAAAUUGGGUUUCCUCCCGACAAGCGCUAUCGUUUAGCGCCCCUAGUUAGGCAUCUAUAAUUGUAAUGAUGCUCACAUGAAAGAUAGCAAUUGAAACACGAAGGGAGCAUCAUGAAGCAUAUGAAAAUCACAUCUAAGUCUAACAUACUUCCUAUGCACAGGCAUCUUAUAGGCAAACAAAUUAUCAAGGAAACCAAAAACUAGCAUAUGCAAGGAAGUGGAAGGAAACAAUAGCAAUCUCAACAUAACGAGAGGUAAUUGUAAUGCCCGGGUAAUUAAGCUACAGUAAUGCCAUGCUAAUGGUGCCACGUCACCACGGUUAUUGUUGUUAACCUUGCGAUGAUUCGAAACCGUUUCAAAAUUCAAAUUCGAAUUAAUAUCAAUGAUAAAAAAAUUUCAAACAUUGAAACAAAAAUGUUCGGUGGGUGCCAAAAAUUGCACUGGUAAUUAUUGCGGAGAAAACCCAUUUUUAGAAGUUGCCUAAAUAUUUUAAAAUGAUUUAAAACAGAAAAGAAAAUAAGUAAAAACAAAAAAACAAAACAAAAGAGAAAUGAAAAGGAAACCCCCAACCCCCUGGGCCACAUGGCCCAGCUAGCAACAGCUGGCCAGCCCAACUGGGCAAAGGCCAGCCGGCCCGGGCCCCCUACCUCGUCCCCCUCCCCUGUUCCCCCGACCCGGUCGGAACAGGGGCGCGCUCCCGCCCAACCACCUCGCCGGCACCAGCGCCGGGAGGAGAUAGGGCCGCCACGCCCUUGCCCCCUUGAUCCCAUCUCCCACUCUCCCCCGCUCUCCCUCUCGGUCCCUGCGCCUCCCCUCCCCUCAGAUCCGCCUUGCUGCUUCUCCUUCCCCUUCGCAUCCGAGCGCCACCGCCGCCAUGGCUCCGGCCUAGCCGUGACCACCAUGCCCACCUCGCGGCCCCACUAUGUCUCCAAGGGCCGCCAUCGUCCGCUGCUUCGACUGGUGCACCCCGUUGGAGAUCAGAGCCACUACAACGCCACGACGUCGCCGUCUUCCUCCUCUGCUCCGACGAGCUUUGUCACCACUCUUCACCAACUCCGGCGACGCCUUUGCUGCUACUAACCCCCCCACGGGCCGAUGUGUGUGCCGCUCGGUGAGCCCCCGCUUCCUCCUCUCUCGCGCGCGCCCUAGCUAGUUGUCGUCGUUGCACCCGAACGCAGCACCGCGGAGCUCGUCGCCGACGAGUCUCUGGUAACCAAAUGGUCACGGGCCAGCGCCCGUUGCACUCGACGCCUCACAUACGUCGCGCCUGGCCUCUCAGUUCACUCGCUACCGCGCCGCGUCGCCAAUCCCUCUCGCGGCCGAACGCCAGCGUCCGCCGCGCCGCUCGCCGCCGUUGCUACCGUUCGGCGCGGCGUUGUCUCUGCUUUCGAACGCCCCCAGCCCCGUGACGAACCGUACCCCGUGGCCUCGCCUUUGAACUCGCCGGGCCUCGAUGUCCGUCCGAUGUCGUCGCCGGCGACCAUUCCGGCCACGCCCGCCGUCAUGCUCCCCUCCAUCAGACGCAGUGCGUAGAGGCCGUUCCAGAGAGCCUGGCCGCGCCCGUUUUGGGCCACCAUGGUGAAAUCCCGGGGCUCGCCGGUGCCCUUCGCCGCAUUUCAGCUCGCCGGGGCAACUCCGGCGCCAGUGCUGACCUAGCCUGGGAGGGACCCACCCCUGGGACACUGCAUGUGGGCCUAGGGGCCUCAACUGGCCAUGUUGACCGAAGUCAACCGCACUGACGUGACUCCCCUGUCUAUGACAUGCGGGCCCCAUGCCAUAAACGAAUAAAAACAAAUAGAUAAAUUGCUAAUUAAUUAAGUUAACUAAAUAAAACAUUAGUCUCUCACUGACUACUAGGCCCCACCCACUAAUUAACCCAUUUAGUUAGCCUGAACCCCCUAUUAGUGCCCCUGAUAAUGACAUGUGGGUCCCCAUGGACCCACCUGUCUGGUUUGACUGGUCAACCGACCAGUUGACCUGCUGACAUCACUCUGAUGUCAUGCCUGUGUCAUCAUUCAUUGUUCUGGAUAAUGUUGGAUUUAAAUAAAUAAUUAAAAUCAGAAAAUGAUUAAAACUUUAGAAAAUCAUAUAAAAUAAACCGUAGCUCAGAUGAAAAUGUUUUCUACAUGAAAGUUGCUCAGAACGACGAGACGAAUCGGGAUACGCAGCCCGUUCGUCCACCACGCAUCCCUAGCAUAGUGAACAUGCAACUUUCCCCCUUUGAUUCAUUUGUCCAAAAACGAAAAACACCAGGGAUAUUUUCCCGUAUGUUUUCCCCCUUUACCGAUACCACCUCAUACCGCGUUAGGGCACCCCUAGCACCGCUACCUGUCAUGUCAUGGAUCGGUAUGCAUCUGUUUGCAUUGUAUUCAUUGUUUCUUCCCCCUCUUCUCUCCGGUAGACUAUGAGGCUGACACUGCUGCUGGUGCCCCGAUCGACUACGCUGUUGACGACCCCUCUUUCUUGCCAGAGCAACCAGGCAAGCCCCCCCUUAAUCACCAGAUAUCGCCUACUCUUCUCUCUACUUCUUGCAUUAGAGUAGUGUAACAUGUUACUGCUUUCCAUUAAUCAUAUUCUGAUGCAUAGCCUGUCAUUGUUGCUACAACUGUUGAUACCUUACCUGCAAUCCUAACUGCUUAGUAUAGGAUGCUAGACUAUCAUUAGUGGCCCUACAUUCUUGUCAGUCUGCCAUGCUAUACUAUCGGGCCGUGAUCACAUUGGGUGUUGAUCACGGGUAUAUACUAUACAUACAUACAAUACAUGUUGUGACUAAAGUCGGGUGGGCUCGUUGAGUACCCGCAAGUGAUUCCAAUGUUGGGGGCUGAAGGGCCAGGUGGUUCCACCCAGGUAGUGGUGGGCCUAGGUUCCCGACGGCCCCCGACUGUUACUUUGUGACGGAGCGACAGGGCAGGCGGAGACCACCUAGGUGAGAGGUGGGUCUGGCCCUGGCCGGCGUUCGCGGUUACUUCAAUAACACGGUUAACGAGAUCUAGGUAUUUGAUCUGAGUCUGGCUAUUGGCCUAUACGCACUAACCAACUACGCGGGAACAGUUAUGGGCACUCGACGUCGUGGUAUCAGCCGAAGCCUUCGUGACAUCAUCGACUAAGCGGCGUGCGCCGGUUUGGACCGCGUAACGCAACUUCCUUUGUAAUGGAGGUUGCUAGGUCUGCUCUCCGGCCGCCCACGCAAUGUGCAGGUGUGCAAUGGGCUAUGGGCCCAGACCCCUGCGCGCAUAGGAUAUAGACCAGCAUGCUGACCUCUCUGUUGUGCCUAGGUAGGGCUGCGACGUGUUGAUCUUUCGAGGCCGGGCAUGACCCAGAAAAGUGUGUCCAUACAAAGGGGAUCGAGCAUGUUGGGAAAUGUGGUGCACCCCUACAGGGAAGUUAAUCUAUUCGAAUAGCCGUGAUCUUCGGUAAUAGGAUGACUUGGAGUUGUACCUUGACCUUAUGACAACUAGAAGCGGAUACUUAAUAAAAUACACCCUUUCAAGUGCCAGAUACAACUCGGUGAUCGCUCUCUCACAGGGCGACGAGGGGAGGAUCAUCGGUUAGGAUUAUGCUAUGCGAUGCUACUUGGUGAACUUACCAUCUACUCUCUUCUUUUGCUGCAAGAUGGAGGUUACCAGAAGCGUAGUCUUCGAUAGGACUAGCUAUCCCCCUCUUAUUCCGGCAUUCUGCAGUUCAGUCCACAUAUGAUACCCCUUUUCCAUUUGAUACCAAUGCAUACAUAUGUAGUGUAGCUCCAUGCUUGCGAGUACUUUGGAUGAGUACUCACGGUUGCUUUGCUCCCUCUUUUCCCCUUUCUAUACUCGAUUGUUGCGACCAGACGAUGGAGUCCAGGAGCUAGACGCCACCGUUGACGACGACUCCUACUACACUGGAGGUGCCUACUACUACGUGCAGGCCGCUGACGACGACCAGGAGUAGUUUAGGAGGAUCCUAGGUAGGAGGCCUGCGCCUCUUUCGAUCUGUAUCCCAGUUUGUGCUAGCCUUCUUAAGGCAAACUUGUUUAACUUAUGUAUGUACUCAGAUAUUGUUGCUUCCGCUAACUCGUCUAUGAUCGAGCUCUUGUAGUCGAGCCCUCGAGGCCCCUGGCUUGUAAUAUGAUGCUUGUAUGACUUAUUUUAUUUGUAGAGUUGUGUUGUGAUAUCUUCCUGUGAGUCCCUGAUCUUGAUCAUACACGUUUGCGUGUACAAUUAAUGUACGAUUGAAUCGGGGGCGUCACAAGUUGGUAUCAGAGCUGACUGCCUGUAGGAAUCCCCUUUCCACACUCCUUGGCCAAAGUCGAGUCUAGACAUUUAAAAACUUUUUACUAACAUGGAUGUGUGUCCUACGGGCCCACGUCGCCAUUUGGAUGGUAUUAGGAUCUUUUACUCCUCGACCCUUACUCUGGGACUCUGAACUAUCUUCUACUCGGGUUAAACGAUUUUACUAACUCUAACAUUAGGAUCCCGCGACCACGUUCACCCCAAAGUUGGAUAAGCCCUAGCUAUUCCAUAGAGUAGUAUAUUGAACAUUAUCCACACUGUCAUUUGACUCCUUUGAAACAUCUUUGUUUUCAGAUGGAACCCACGAGACAGGUCGUGCGCCACACGACGGCCAUUGGUGCCUCAGGAUCACUUGCUAUGUUGGUCGAGAUGAUGACCUAUCUGGGUUAUCGCUGGCACCCUGAGUACACCAUCUACGAGGAGUACCAGGACUUCAACCAGGAAUGGUAUCGUGCCAUCGUCCACCUCUACUCUCGGGAGUAUAAGUCCACUACCCUGCUGCACACUGCUCAUGGUGUUGGAGGGACUAUUGCUACCUCUUGAGCACUGCAUUGGUUUUUCCUUGAAGAGGAAAGGGUGAUGCAGCAAAGUAGCGUAAGUAUUUCCCUCAGUUUUUGAGAACCCAGGUAUCAAUCUAGUAGGAGGCCGCGCACGAGUCCCUCGCACCUACACAAACAAAUAAAUCCUCGCAACCAACGUGAUAAGGGGUUGUAAAUCCCUACACAGUCACUUACGAGAGUGAGAUCUGAUAGAUAUCAUAGGAUAAUAUUUUUAGUAUUUUUAUGAUAAAGAGAAAUAAAAGAUGCAAGUAAAAUAAAUGGCAAAGGAAAUAACUACGUAUUGGAAGGUUAAUAUGAUGGAAGAUAGACCCAGGGCCAUAGGUUUCACUAGUGGCUUCUCUCAAGAGCAUAAGUAUUUAUGGUGGGUGAACAAAUUACUGUUGAGCAAUUGACAGAACUGAGCAUAGUUAUGAGAAUAUAUAGGUAUGAUCAUGUAUAUAGGCAUCACGUCCGAGACAAGUAUACCGACUCCUGCCUGCAUCUACUACUAUUACUCCACACGUCGACCGCUAUCCAGCAUGCAUCUAGAGUAUUAAGUUCAAGAGAACAGAGUAACGCUUUAAGCAAGAUGACAUGAUGUAGAGGGAUAAACUCAUGCAAUAUGAUAUAAAACCCAUCUUGUUAUCCUCGAUGCAACAAUACAAUACGUGCCUUGCUGCCCCUACUGUCACUGGGAAAGGACACCGCAAGAUUGAACCCAAAGCUAAGCACUUCUCCCAUUGCAAGAAAGAUCAAUCUAGUAGGCCAAACCAAACUGAUAAUUCGAAGAGACUUGCAAAGAUAACCAAUCAUAAAUAAAAGAAUUCAGAGAAGAUUCAAAUAUUGUUCAUAGAUAAACUUGAUCAUAAACCCACAAUUCAUCGGUCUCAACAAACACACCGCAAAAGAAGAUUACAUCGAAUAGAUCUCCACAAGAGAGGGGGAGAACUUUGUAUUGAGAUCCAAAAAGAGAGAAGAAGCCAUCUAACUAAUAACUAUGGACCCGUAGGUCUGAAGUAAACUACUCACACUUCAUCGGAGGGGCUAUGGUGUUGAUGUAGAAGCCCUCUGUGAUCGAUGCCCCCUCCGGCGGAGCUCCGGGAAAGGCCCCAAGAUGGGAUCUCGUGGAUACAGACAGUUACGGUGGUGGAAUUAGGGUUUUGGCUCCGUAUCUGGUAGUUUGGGGGUACGUAGGUAUAUAUAGGAGGAAGGAGUACGUCGGUGGAGCAACAGGGGGGACCACGAGGGUGGAGGGCGCACCUAGGGAGGGGGAGGCGCGCCCCCUACCUCGUGCCUUCCUCGUUGAUUGCUUGAUGUAGGGUCCAAGUCCUCUGGAUCUUGUUUGUUCUGAAAAUCACAUUCCCGAAGGUUUCAUUCCGUUUGGACUCCGUUUGAUAUUCUUUUUCUGCGAAACCCUAACAUAGGCAAAAAAUAGCAAUUCUGGGCUGGGCCUCCGGUUAAUAGGUUAGUCCCAAAAAUAAUAUAAAAGUGUAUAAUAAAGCCCAAUAAUGUCCAAAACAGAAUAUAAUAUAGCAUGGAACAGUAAAAAAUUAUAGAUACGUUGGAGACGUAUCAAGCAUCCCCAAGCUUAAUUCCUGCUCGUCCUCGAGUAGGUAAAUGAUAAAAACAGAAUUUUUGAUGUGGAAUGCUACUUGGCGUAAUUCAAUGUAAUUCUUCUUAAUUGUGGUAUGAAUAUUCAGAUCUGAAAGAUUCAAGACAAAAGUUCAAUAUUGUCAUAGAAAUAAUAAUACUUCAAGCAUACUAACUAAGCAAUUAUGUCUCUUCAAAAUAACAUGGCCAAAGAAAGUUAUCCCUACAAAAUCAUAUAGUCUGGCUAUGCUCUAUCUUCAUCACACAAAGUAUUUAAAUCAUGCACAACCCCGAUGACAAGCCAAGCAAUUGUUUCAUACUUUUGGUGUUCUCAAACUUUCUCAAUCUUCACGCAAUACAUGAGCGUGAGCCAUGGACAUAACACUUUAGGUGGAAUAGAAUGAUGGCUGUGGAGGAGACAAAAAAGGGGAAAUAUAGUCUCACAUCAACUAGGCGUAUCAACAGGCUAUGGAGAUGCCCAUCAAUAGAUAUCAAUGUGAGUGAGUAGGGAUUGCCAUGCAACGGAUGCACUAGAGCUAUAAGUAUAUGAAAACUCAACAAAAGGAACUAAGUGGGUGUGCAUCCAACUCGCUUGCUCACGAAGACCUAGGGCAUUUUGAGGAAGCCCAUCAUUGGAAUAUACAAGCCAAGUUCUAUAAUGAAAAAUUCCCACUAGUAUAUGAAAGUGAUAACACAGGAGACUCUCUAUUAUGAAGAUCAUGGUGCUACUUUGAAGCACAAGUGUGGUAAAAGGAUAGUAGCAUUGUCCUUCUCUCUUUUUCUCUCAUAUUUUUUUAUUUGGGCCUUUUCUUUUUUAUGGCCUCUUUUUUUUCGUCUGGAGUCUCAUCCCGACUUGUGAGGGAAUCAUAGUCUCCAUCAUCCUUUCCUCACUUGGGACAAUGCUCUAAAAAUGAUGAUCAUCACACUUUUAUUUACUUACAACUCCACAAUUACAACUCAAUACUUAGAAAAAAAUAUGACUCUAUGUGAAUGCCUCCAGCCGUGUACCGGGAUAUGCAAUGAAUCAAGAGUGACAUGUAUGAAAGAAUUAUGAAUGGUGGCUUUGCCACAAAUACAAUGUCAACUACAUGAUCAUGCAAAGCAAUAUGACAAUGAUGGAGCAUGUCAUAGUAAACGGAACGGUGGAAAGUUGCAUGACAAUAUAUCUCGGAAUGGCUAUGGAAAUGCCAUGAUAGGUAGGUAUGGUGGCUGUUUUGAGGAAGGUAUAUGGUGGGUGUAUGAUAUCGGCGAAAGGUGCGCGGUAUUAGAGAGGCUAGCAAUGGUGGAAGGAAGAAAAGUGCGUAUGAUCCAUGGACUCAACCUUAGUCAUAAAGAACUCAUAUACUUAUUGCAAAAAUCUACAAGUUAUCAAAGCAAAGUAUUACGCGCAUGCUCCUAGGGGGAUAGACUGGUAGGAAAAGACCAUCGCUCAUCCCCGACCACCACUCAUAAGGAAGACAGUCAAUAAAUAAAUCAUGCUCCGACUUCAUCACAUAACAGUUCACCAUACGUGCAUGCUACAGGAAUCACAAACUUUAAAACAAGUAUUUCUCAAAUUCACAACUACUCGACUAGCAUGACUCUAAUAUUACCAUCUCCAUAUCUCAAAACAAUUAUCAAGUAUCAAACUUCUCAUAGUAUUCAACACACUCAUAAGAAAAUUUUUAUUAAUCUUGAAUGCCUAACAUAAUUAAAGCAAAUUACCAUGCUGUUUUGUAGAACUCUCAAAAUAAUCUAAGUGAAGCAUGAGAGAACAAUAGUUUCUAUAAAACAAAUCCACCGACGUGCUCUAAAAUAUAUAAGUGAAGCACUGGUGCAAAAACUAUAUAACUCAAAAGAUACAAGUGAAGCACAUAGAGUAUUCUAACAAUUUCCGAAUCACGUGUGUCUCUCUAAAAAGGUGUGUACAUCAAGUAUGAUUGUGGAAAAAUAACAAAUAAAGACUCAAAUAAUACAAGACGCUCCAAGCAAAACAAAUAUCAUGUGGUAAAUAAAAAUAUAGCUCCAAGUGAAGUUACCGAUGGAAGUAGACGAAAGAGGGGAUGCCUUCCGGGGCAUCCCCAAGCUUUGGAUUUUAGGUGUCCUUAGAUUAUCUUAGUGUGCCAUGGGAAUCCCCAAGAUUAGGCUCUUUCCACUCCUUGUUCCAUAAUCCAUCAAAUCUUUUACCCAAAACUUGAAAACUUCACAACACAAAACUUAAAGUAGAAAAUCUCGUGAGCUCCGUUAGCAAAAGAAAACAAAACACCACUUCAAGGUACUGUAAUGAACUCAUUAUUUAUUUAUAUUGGUGUUAAACCUACUGUAUUCCAACUUCUCUAUGGUUUAUAAACUAUUUUACUAGCCAUAGAUUCAUUAAAAUAAGCAAACAACACACGAAAAACAGAAUCUGUCAAAAACAGAACAGUCUGUAGUAAUUUGUAGCUAACUCAAUAUCUGGAACCACCAAAAUUCUAAAAUAAAUUUCUAGACGUGAGGAAUUUAUCUAUUAAUCAUCUGAAAAAAUAAUUAAAUAAAUAUCACUUUCCAAAUAAAAAUGGCAGCAAUUCUCGUGAGCGCUAAAGUUUCUGUUUUUUACAGCAAGAUUAAAAAGACUUUCCCCAAGUCUUUCCAACGGUUCUACUUGGCAAAAACACUAAUUAAACACAAAAAACACAACCAAAACAGAGGCUAGAUAAUUUAUUUAUUACCAAACAGGAGCAAAAAGCAAGGAAUAAAAAUAAAAUUGGGUUGCCUCCCAACAAGCGCUAUCGUUUAACGCCCCUAGCUCGGCAUAAUAUUUCAAUGAUGCUCACAUGAAAGACAAGAAUUGAAGCACAAAAAGAGCAUCAUAAAACACGUGAAAAACACAUCUAAGUCUAACAUACUUCCUAUGCAUAGGUAUCUUAUAGGCAAACAAAUUAUCAAGGCAAGCAAAAACUAGCAUAUGCAAGGAAGCGGAAAGAAACAAUAGCAAUCUCAACAUAACGAGAGAUAAUUUAGUAACAUGAAAAUUUAUACCACCAUAUCUUCCUCUCUCAUAAUAAUUACAUGUAGGAUCAUAAGCAAAUUCAACAAAAUAGCUAUCACAUAAAAUAUUUUCAACAUGAUCCACGUGCAUGCAAAGUUGACACUCUUCCAAAAUAGUGGGAUUAACAUUAACUAAAGUCAUGACCUCUUCAAACCCAUUUUUAUCAAAAAAAUUCAUAAGAUUGAACAUUCUCCAAAUAUGUGGGAUCUAAAGUUGAAACUCUUCCAAACCCACUUCCAAUAAUAUUGCAAACACUAUUAUCAGUCUCAUAUUCAUCAUGGGGCUUAAAUAAUUUUUCAAGAUCGAAAGAAGAAUCACCCCAAUCAUGAUCAUUGCAACAAAUAGUAGUCAUAGCAAAACUAGCAUCCCCAAGCUUAGGGUUUUGCAUAUCAUUAACACAAUUGGCAUUAAGAGAAUUUAUAAUAACAUCAUUGCAAUCAUGCUUUUCAUCGAAGGAACUAUCAAGUAUGGGUGCAAUAGCAAUGAUCUCAUGUUUAACAUAAGGAACUAUAGCCAAUUCAUCUUCAUAAAUAUUGGCAUCAUGGCCACAAGAAUAGCAAGCAUCAUGUGCAUCAAGGGAUAUUUUAAUCAAAUCACCGAAAUCAUAAUUAUCUAUAGAUUCAUGCAUAUCAUUAUUUUCUUCCGAAGCAACAGUCAUUCUUUCAAUAAAUUCUUUGAUAUAGACAUUAUGAGCAUAGUUUUCAUAGCAAUAUUUAAGUAUGUCAAAAUUUUCAGAUUCGUAGAGAGUAAUAUCAUACUUUUCAAUCAAAGAAGCAACUUCAUAAGCACCCUUAAAAGCAACAAAUUCUUCAAUUCGUUCGAUAUCGUAGUAACUAUAAACACCCUUUGCAUAAGAAGAUAAGAUUUCAAUAUUGUUAAACUCACUUAGGUAGGGGAGGUGUUUUUUAGGGUUCUUAGAGAAACAAGUAAAACCACAAAUUUCACAAAGAUUCCAAGCAUAACACAUCAAUCUAUUUAUUUGAUUCCAUAAGAGUCUCCCUUUUUUAGACAAACGGUGAUGCACAAAAUGAGCAUGCUCAUCUAAAGAUUUCCCAUCAACUAGGCUAGUUGGGGUUUCAGCACGAGCGCAUAAGGAUCAAAGAUGAUCUAAGUAGAACACUUUAAGUGGAUCCAUAUCAAUAGAUUUUUUGCAAGCAAAGAUACAAACAAAUAGAAGGCACAUGGAAACACAAACAAGGAUACAUACGGGAAGAAGGCAAACAAAAGAAGAGGCAAAUAGGGAAAGAGAGGGAGGAUGGAGAGAGAGGGCGAAUAAAACGGCAAGGGUGAAGUGGGGGAGAGGAAAACGAGAGGCAAGUGGCAAAUAAUGUAAUGCGGGAGAUAAGGGUUUGUGAUGGGUACUUGGUAUGUCUUGACUUUCAACGGCGCCACAAGUGACUCGUUGUCGGGAGUCAAAUCUUGACUUGUAUUGCAGGAACCUCCCCGGCAACGGUGCCAUAAUUCCUUCUUGCUACCUCUUGAGCACUGUGUUGGUUUUCCCUUGAAGAGGAAAGGGUGAUGCAUCAAAGUAGCGUAAGUAUUUCCCUCAGUUUUUGAGAACCAAUGUAUCAAUCCAGUAGGAGGCCGCGCACGAGUCCCUCGUACCUACACAAACAAAUAAAUCCUCGCAACCAACGCGAUAAGGGGUUGUCAAUCCCUACACGGUCACUUACGAGAGUGAGAUGUAAUAGAUAUGAUAGGAUAAUAUUUUUGGUAUUUUUAUGAUAAAGAGAAAUAAAAGAUGCAAGUAAAAUAAAUGGCAAAGGAAAUAACUAAGUAUUGGAAGAUUAAUAUGAUGGAAGAUAGACCCGGGGGCCAUAGGUUUCACUAGUGGCUUCUCUCAAGAGCAUAAGUAUUUAUGGUGGGUGAACAAAUUACUGUUGAGCAAUUGACAGAAUUGAGCAUAGUUAUGAGAAUAUCUAGGUAUGAUCAUGUAUAUAGGCAUCACGUCCGAGACAAGUAGACCAACUCCUGCCUGCAUCUACUACUAUUACUCCACACAUCGACCGCUAUCCAGCAUGCAUCUAGAGUACUAAGUUCAAGAGAACAGAGUAACGCUUUAAGCAAGAUGACAUGAUGUAGAGGGAUAAACUCAUGCAAUAUGAUAUAAACCCCAUCUUGUUAUCCUCGAUGGCAACAAUACAAUACGUGCCUUGCUGCCCCUACUGUCACUAAGGACACCGCAAGAUAGAACCCAAAGCUAAGCACUUCUCCCAUUGCAAGAAAGAUCAAUCUAGUAGGCCAAACCAAACUGAUAAUUCGAAGAGACUUGCAAAGAUAACCAAUCAUAAAUAAAAUAAUUCAGAGAAGAUCCAAAUAUUUUUCAUAGAUAAACUUGAUCAUAAACCCACAAUUCAUCGGUCUCAACAAACACACCGCAAAAGAAGAUUACAUCGAAUAGAUCUCCACAAGAGAGGGGGAGAACUUUGUAUUGAGAUCCAAAAAGAGAGAAGAAGCCAUCUAGCUAAUAACUAUGGACCCAUAGGUCUGAAGUAAACUACUCACACUUCAUCGGAGGGGCUAUGGUGUUGAUGUAGAAGCCCUCCGUGAUCGAUGCCCCCUCCGGCGGAGCUCCAGAAAAGGCCCCAAGAUGGGAUCUCAUGGAUACAAAAAGUUAUGGCGGUGGAAUUAGGAUUUUGGCUCCGUAUCUGGUAGUUUGGGGGUACGUAGGUAUAUAUAGGGCGAAGGAGUACGUCGGUGGAGCAACAGGGGGCCCAUGAGGGUGNNNNNNNNNNNNNNNNNNNNNNNNNNNNNNNNNNNNNNNNNNNNNNNNNNNNNNNNNNNNNNNNNNNNNNNNNNNNNNNNNNNNNNNNNNNNNNNNNNNNNNNNNNNNNNNNNNNNNNNNNNNNNNNNNNNNNNNNNNNNNNNNNNNNNNNNNNNNNNNNNNNNNNNNNNNNNNNNNNNNNNGUAGGCGCGCCCCUACCUCGUGCCUUCCUCGUCGAUUGCUUGAUGUAGGGUCCAAGUCCUCUGGAUCAUGUUCAUUCCGAAAAUCACGUUCCCAAAGGUUUCAUUCCUUAAAUAGGCAAAAAACAGCAAUUCUGGGAUGGGCCUCUGGUUAAUAGGUUGGUCCCAAAAAUAAUAUAAAAGUGUAUAAUAAAGCCUAAUAAUGUCCAAAACAGAAUAUAAUAUAGCAUGGAGCAAUAAAAAAUUAUAGAUACGUUGGAGACGUAUCAACUAUCGACAUGGUGGUCCACGAUGCUGCUUAUGCUGCAUUGACACGUCUUCGUGGAGAGUAUUGGGAGUUGGACACCUCCCCUUUCAGGCACAUUGCUAUCGCAUGCGAUGUUGGUGCGGAAGGAUACUACACUGCUGCCUACUCCACUGUCACCCGAGAGCCCUUCUACCAUCAGAACCUGGUUCUGCAUGCUGAUGGGCUGGAUAGAGCUAACUGAGCUCUUCAGCAUGAGUUAUACACCACCCGUCAGCACCUGUACCGUGAUCUGACGUUGUUGCACCCCUCUGUCCGAUCUGGUGAUCUAUCGCAUUCUGUGAUCUACCCUACCAGGACUGUGAUGCCCCAGGGCGUCGGCUGGCCAGAUGUGGGAGGCUACUCUCCCACACUUGGUCCUCUUCUGCCACCUGCACGUUGGGUUCCGCACCAGAGUAUCCAUGGACCCCAGGCUACUCACGUGGAGGACAUCCCUUCGGGUCACUACCAGUUGUCAGGCUACACCUACCUCCACAAUUCUUCCUGGGACUGAUGUAGGCUUGCUUGUUAGUAUUGGAUGCAUUCACCGCGAGCCUACGUGCCGCCUAUGAUGUUCUUAGCCUAUGUACUGAACUCUGUGUACUGAACUCUAUGCAUGAUCCUUUUAUAAGAUAUGCCAACUACUAUGUAGUAUCUAUCUUGUUCCUUUCAUUAUGCAUGUUUCAUCAUGAAUGAUUCUUGUCCUUGCAAAUUUCUCAAUACUGAACUACUCCUGUUAUAUAUUAGCAGGAUGGUUAGACCAGGUGGUCGUGGUCGUGGUGGCCAUGCCCCACCACCGCCUGAGCACAUGGCUGGUAUGAUCCAACAGUUCGAGCUGAACCACCAAUUCAUGGAAAAUAUGAUGGCUCAGUUUCCUCGUCCCAAUAUGAACCAGCAGCCAGCCCAAGUGACUCUACAGGAUUUCAUGCGCCUCAACCCAACUGUGUACCGCAGCUGAACUCAGCCUCUGGAUGCUGAUGACUGGCUCUGUGACAUCACCUAUGAGAUGGAGUCUGCUGAUGUAGCCCCUGCUAGCUAUGUCACAUUUGCUUCCUUCUUCCUGAAAGGACCCGCUGCUUAAUGGUGGGAUAGCCACCGGCGUACUCUGCCGGUUGGAACAAUCAUUACCUGGCCAGACUUCCAAGCUGCUUUCUAUGCUCGCUUUAUUCCUCAGGGAGUCAUGGACCUGAAGAAGCGCGAGUUCCGCAACCUCACCCAGGGCAACAAAAUUGUCGAAGCUUAUCAGCGGGAGUUUCUGGAUUUAUCCCGCUAUGCUGAAGAAGACAUUGCAACUGCUGCAGGCAGACAGGAGAAGUUCCGUGAUGGCCUUCAAGCUGACAUCAAGCUCGUACUUCUAGUGCAUGACUUUGCUGAUUUCGCCACCUUAGUGAACAAGGCCAUCAAUGUUGAAACUGGUCUGCAGGAACACAAGAGUUCUCACAGGCGCAACCGUGACACGGGCUCAUCUUCGGGCCCGUCCUCGCAGUAGCGUAGGAUAUGGAUUCCCAGCAGCAUGUACCAGCCAACUGCACCUACUCCAAGGCAGUCCUAUGCUACGCCGCGUCUGCCUCCCCCACCAACUAGGCAGCCGAGACUUCCAACUCCACCACCCCGAGCUCCUAUUCCCACUCCCAAUAAUGGUCUGUGCUACAAGUGUGGCCAACCAGGUCACGUCACCAGGAACUGCCUUCAGAACAGAAUCAACUGGCCCUUCCCGCAGCUGGCCGUGGAAGCAACCGGCCUUGCAAUGACAAUGCCAGGUCUUAUGGUCGUGUUCAUGCCAACCACGUUGAUCUCAAUGAAGUUCUAGACCAGCCUGCUACCGUGAUGGGUACACUCCUCGUAAAUUCAGUACCAGCAUCUGUUUUAUUUGAUACAGGUGCAUCACAUUCAUUCAUGUCAGAAGAUUUUGCAUGCUUGCACGACAUUAAAUGUGAGGGCAUGAACACUUAGCUAUUAGUACACACUCCCGCGGGCCAAUGUCGGACCUCCAUGAUUUGCAACGACGUCCCCGUUGAAAUCGAAGGACUGGAAUUCCUUGUCUCUCCCACCGUAUUGAAGUCAUGUAGCAUUGAUCUCAUUCUGGGAAUGGAUUGAUUGAAAGCGCAUACUGCUUCUAUAGUUUGUGCCACUAAGACCGUCCAUCUGCUACACCCUUCUGAUGAAAUAAUUACCUACCAAGGUCAUCUAGUUUAGAACAUCGAGGCACGGCUUUAUGCCUUGAAUGCGUUGAACGCUGCACCACUCAAGGGCAUUGAAAACAUUCCCGUCGUUCAUGAAUUCCAAGAUGUCUUUCCGGAAGAACUUCCAGGGAUUCCCCCUGCUAGAGCUGUCGAAUUCAUCAUCGACUUGAAACCAGGCACCACCCCUAUAGCCAAACGACCCUACAAGAUGCCGCCGCAUGAACUCAUUGAGCUUAAGGAGGAAAUCGACAAAUCUCUUAGCAAAGGUUUCAUUCGCCCUAGUUGCUCUCCUUGGGGAGCACCUUCUCUCUUUGUUAAGAAGAAGGAUGGGACAAACCGAUUAGUCUAAGACUAUCGUCCUAUUAACCAAGCCACUAUUCAGAACAAAUAUCCCCUCCCUUGGAUCAAUGAUCUUUAUGAUCAACUAGCUAGUUCACCAGUGUUCUCCAAACUCGACUUGAGGUUGGGUUACCACCAGAUCCAUGUUCGUGAAGAGGAUAUCCCAAAGACCGCCUUCGUGACUUGGUAUGGAUCAUACGAGUACACCGUCAUGUCAUUCGGCUUAACGAAUGCUCCAGCCACUUUCUCUCGUCUGAUGAACUAUAUAUUCAUGGAUUAUCUCGACAAGUUCGUCGUGGUUUAUCUGGAUGAUAUCCUUGUAUUUUCCAAGAACAAAGAAGAACAUGCUGAACAUCUUCGUCUUGUGUUGGAAAAGCUUCGAGAGCAUCAACUCUAUGCUAAGUAUUCCAAGUGUGAAUUCUGGCUCCACGAAGUAACCUAUCUUGGGCAUGUCAUCUCCAAGGAUGGUAUUGCCGUCAACCCUGAACGAGUCCAGACUAUUCUCGAUUGGACUCCUCCGAAGAAUGUCAAGCAAGUCCGAAGUUUUCUCGGUCUCGCCAGCUAUUGCCGUCGAUUCAUCGAGAACUUCUCCAAGAUCGCUAGGCCUCUGACCAACCUGUUGCAUAAGGGCGUCAAGUUCCAAUGGACAAACAAGUGUUAGGAAAGCUUCCAGGCACUCAAAGACAAGUUGACUUCUGCCCCAGUGCUUGCUCCACCUGAUACUAAGAAGGACUUCGUCAUUUACUGCGAUGCUUCCCGUCAGGGAUUAGGCUGUGUCCUAAUGCAAGAGCGCAGAGUGAUUGCUUAUGCCUCUCGUUAACUGCGCCCUCACAAAGAAAACUACCCAGUUCACGACCUCGAGCUUUCUACUGUCAUUCAUGCACUAAAGCAGUGGCGACAUUACCUUCUCGGUAAUCGUUGCGAGAUCUUCACCGACCACCAAAGUCUGAAGUAUCUGUUUACUCAACCAGACUUGAACCUCCGUCAGCAAAGAUGGAUGGAGAUUGUGGCAGACUUUGACGUGGGCACAUCCUAUACCCCAGGCAAGGCUAAUGUAAUGGCUGAUGCCUUGAGCCGCAAGUCUUACUGCAACCACCUCCAGGUUCACAAAGUUCAGCCCUCGCAUAUCAAAGAAUUUAGAAAGCUGAACCUUCAUAUUGUUCCUCCUUGUGCACUCGCUCCCCCUCCCCCAGAGUUCCAAAAGAUGAAUCUUCGUGUUGUUACUAAGGGUUCUCUAAAUACCCUGGCUGUCGUACCAGAUCUCGUAGAUGGUAUAAAGACUAUUCAAGGUUAUGACUAUGAAGUACAGAAGGUUAAACGUCAUCUUGCAGAAGGAAAGCCCUCAUUCUUCACUAUCGCCGAUGAUGGCGCCUUGUACUUCAAAGGCCGCCUAGUGGUGCCAUGUUCGAGGAAAAACCUGGAUCAGACUAAAAAGGUUAUGAAAGAAGCUCAUGAUAUGCCUUUGUCUAUUCAUCCCGGUAGUACAAAGAUGUACCAAGACAUCGCAGAGAUUCUGGUGGUCUAAUAUGAAGCAAGACAUUACUCGUUAUGUUGCUGAGUGUGACGUUUGCCGUCGAAUCAAAGUUGAGCAUCAAAGGCUUGCUGGAACUCUGCAACCUAUCUCUAUUCCUGAAUGGAAAUGGGACCAUGUUGAAAAGGACUGCGUCACUGGAUUUCCCAAAUCGCAGAAAGGUAAUGAUGCUAUUCUUGUCGUCAUUGACCGGCUUUCUAAGGUUUCAAAAUUUCUGGCGGUCAAAGAAACAAUCACUACUAGUCAGCUUGCAACUCUCUACAUGUACAGAAUUGUUUCACUUCACGGUAUUCCACUGGUUAUGAGUUCAGACCGUGGCAGCUUAUUCACUUCAAGAUUUUGGGCAAGUUUCCAAGAAGCUAUGGGAACUCAUCUGUCAUCCAGUACUACGUUUCAUCCUCAGUCGCAAGGUCAAGUUGAACGUGUCAACCAAGUUCUCGAGGACAUGCUUCGAGCUUAUGUAAUUUCCUUCGGCAAGAAAUGGGAGGAAUCUCUUCCAUAUGCUGAGUUCUCUUAUAAUAAUAGCUAUCAAGCUAGUAUGAAGAUGCCCCCCUUUGAAGUAUUAUAUGGACGAAAGUGUCGGACCCCUUUGAACUGGUCAGAAACUGGGGAACGUCCACUCUUCGGUCCGGAUAUUAUCCAACAAGCCGAAGAACAAUUCCGCAUUAUUCACGAGAAUCUCAAGACUUCUCAGUCGCGUCAGAAGAGUCAGUAUGACCGUCAUCACAAAGACAUGGUCUAUCAACCUGGCGAAAAGGCUUAUCUUCGAGUUACACCAAUGAAGGGUGCCCACCGCUUCGGGAUCAAGGGCAAGCUAGCUCCUCGCUAUAUUGGCCCAUUCACUAUUCUCGGAAGGCAUGGAAAAGUGGCAUAUCAACUGGAGCUUCCGCCGAACCUUUCUCAGAUUCACGAUGUGUUCCACGUGUCACAGCUCCGCCGUUGCUUCAAGGAUCCAAUCCGAGCAGUGGUUCAUGAAGUGCUCGAAUUGCAACAGGACCUCUCCUAUAAAGAGUAUCCGGUCCGCAUUCUUGACCAAGCUGAACACCGCACACGUCGGAAGGCGAUCAAAUUCCUCAAAGUCCAGUGGUCACAUCACUCUGAAGAUGAAGCCACUUGGGAACGCGAGGAUCGCCUGCGUGAUGAAUACCCCACACCGUUUCCUUCUACCUCCUAAAUCUUGGGAGGAGAUUUCUUGUAGUGUAGGAGUUUUGUAAUGCCCGGGUAAUUAAGCUACAGUAAUCCCAUGCUAAUGGUGCCACGUCACCACGGUUACUGUUGUUAACCUUACGAUGAUUCGAAACCGUUUCAAAAUUCAAAUUCAAAUUAAUGUCAACGAUAAAAUUUUCAAACAUUGAAACAAAAAUGUUCGGUGGGUGCCAAAAAUUGCAAUGGUAAUUAUUGCGGAGAAAACCCAUUUUUAGAAGUUGCCUAAAUAUUUUAAAAUGAUUUAAAACAGAAAAGAAAAUAAAUAAAAACAAAAAACAAAACAAAAGAGAAAUGAAAAGGAAAUCCCCCAACCCCCUGGGCCACAUGGCCCAGCUAGCAACAGCUGGCCAGCCCAACUGGGCAAAGGCCAGCCGGUCCGGGCCCCCUGCCUCGUCCCCCUCCCCUGUUCCCCCGACCCGGUCGGAACAGGGGCGCGCUCCCGCCCAACCACCUCGCCGGCACGGCGCCAGGAGGAGAUAGGGCUGCCAUGCCCUCGCCCCCUUGAUCCCAUCUCCCACUCGCCCCCGCUCUCCCUCUCGGUCCCUGCGCCUCCCCUCCCCUCAGAUCCGCCUCGCUGCUUCUCCUUCCCCUUCGCAUCCGAGCGCCACCGCCGCCAUGGCUCCGGCCUGGCCGAGGCCACCAUGCCCACCUCGCCGCCCCACUGUGUCUCCAAGGGCCUCCAUCAUCCGCUGCUUCGACUGGUGCACCCCGUUGGAGAUGAGAGCCACUACAACGCCACGACGUCGCCGUCUUCCUCCUCUGCUCCGACGAGCUUCGCCGCCACUCUUCACGAACUCCGGCGACGCCUCUGCUGCUACUAAACCCCCCACGGGCCACCAUGUGUGCCGCUCGGUGAGCCCCCGCUUCCUCCCCUCUCUCUCGCGCGCGCCCUAGCUAGCUGUCACCGUCGCACCCGAACGCAGUGCCGCGGAGCUCGUCGCCGACGAGUCUCCGGUGACCAAAUGGUCACGGGCCAGCGCUCGUUGCACUCGACGCCUCACAUACGUCGCGUCUGGCCUCUCAGUUCGCUCGCUACCGCGCUGCAUCGCCAAUCCCUCUCGCGACCGAAUGCCGGUGUCCGCCACGCCGCUCGUCGCCGUCGCUACACUACCUCUCCGGCCACGGUUUCGAACCGUUCGACGCAGCGUUGUCUCUGCUUUCGAACGCCCCGAGCCCCGCGAUGAACCGUACCCCGUGGCCUCGCCUUCAAACUCACCGAGCAUCGGUGUCCGCCCGAUGUCGUCGCCGGCGACCAUUCCGGCCACGCCCGCCGUCAUGCUCCCCUCCAUCAGACGCGACGCGUAGAGGCCAUUCCAGAGAGCCUCGCCGCGCCCGUUUUGGGCCACCAUGGCGAAAUCCCGGGGCUCGCCGGCGCCCUUCACCGCAUUUCGGCUCGCCCGGGCAACUUCAGCGUCAGCGCUGACCUGGCCUAGGAGGGGCCCACCCCUGGGAUGCUGCCUGUGGGCCUAGGGGCCCCAACUGGCCACGUUAACCGAAGUCAACCACGCUGACAUGGCUCCUCUGUCUAUGACAUGCGGGCCCCACGCCAUAAACGAAUAAAAACAAAUAGAUAAAUUGCUAACUAAUUAAGUUAAUUAAUUAAAACAUUAGUCUCUCACUGACUGCUGGGCCCCACCCGCUAAUUAACCCAUUUAGUUAGCCUAAACCCCCUGUUAGUGCCCCUGAUAAUGACAUGUGGGUCCCCAUGGACCCACCUGUCUGGUUUGACUAGUCAACCGACCAGUUGACCUGCUGACAUCACUCUGGUGUCAUGCCCGCGUCAUCAUUCACUUUUCUGGAUAAUGUUGGAUUUAAAUAAAUGAUUAAAAUCAAAAAAUGAUUAAAACUUUAGAAAAUCAUAUAAAAUAAACCGUAGCUCAGAUGAAAAUGUUUUCUACAUGAAAGUUGCUCAGAACGACGAGACGAAUCAAGAUACGUAGCCCGUUCGUCCACCACGCGUCCCUAGCAUAGCGAACACGCAACUUUCCCCCUCCGAUUCAUUUGUCCAAAAACGCAAAACACCGGGGAUAGUUUCCCGGAUGUUUUCCCCCUUCACCGGUACCACCUCAUACCGCAUUAGGGCACCCCUACACUGCUACUUGUCAUGUCAUGCAUCGGUAUGCAUCUGUUUGCAUUGUAUUCAAUGUUUCUUCCUCCUCUUCUCUCCAGUAGACUACGAGGCUGACGCUGCUGUUGGUGCCCCGAUCGACUACGCUGUUGACGACCCCUCUUUCUUGCCAGAGCAACCAGGCAAGCCCCCCCUUAAUCACCAGAUAUCGCCUACUCUUCUCUCUACUUCUUGCAUUAGAGUAGUGUAACAUGUUACUGCUUUCCAUUAAUCAUAUUCUGAUGCAUAGCCUGUCAUUGUUGCUACAACUGUUGAUACCUUACCUGCAAUCCUAUGUGCUUAGUAUUGGAUGCUAGAUUAUCAUUAGUGGCCCUACAUUCUUGUCAGUUUGCCAUGCUAUACUAUCGGGCCGUGAUCACACCGGGUGUUGAUCAUGGGUAUAUACUGUACAUACAUACUAUACAUGUUGUGACUAAAGUCGGGUCGGCUCGUUGAGUACCCGCAAGUGAUUCCGAUGUUGGGGGCUGAAGGGCCAGGUGGUUCCACCCAGGUAGUGGUGGGCCUAGGUUCCCGAUGGCCACCGACUAUUACUUUGUGACGGAGUGAUAGGGCAGGCGGAGACCACCUAGGUGAGAGGUGGGCCUGGCCCUGGUCGGCGUUCGCGGUUACUUCAAAAUAACACACUUAACGAGAUCUGGGUAUUUUAUCUGAGUCUGGCUACUGGCCUAUACGCACUAACCAACUACGCGGGAACAGUUAUGGGCACUCGACGUCGUGGUAUCAGCCGAAGCCUUCGUGACGUCAGCGACUAAGCGGCGCGCACUGGGUUGGACCGCGUAACACAACUUCCUUUGUAAUGGAGGUUGCUAGGUCUGCUCUCCGGCCGCCCACGCAAUGUGCAGGUGUGCAACGGGCUAUGGGCCCAGACCCCUGUGCGCAUAGGAUAUAGACCGGCGUGCUGACCUCUCUGUUGUGCCUAGGUAGGGCUACGACGUGUUGAUCUUUUGAGGACGGGCAUGACCUAGAAAAGUGUGUCCGGACAAGGGGGCUCGAGCAUGUUGGGAAAUGUGGUGCACCCCUACAGGGAAGUUAAUCUAUUCGAAUAGCCGUGAUCUUCGGUAACAUGACGACUUGGAGUUGUACCUUGGCCUUAUGACAACUAGAACCGGAUACUUAAUAAAAUACACCCUUUCAAGUGCCAGAUACAACCCGGUGAUUGCUCUCUCACAGGGCGACGAGGGGAGGAUCAUCGGUUAGGAUUAUGCUAUGCGAUGCUACUUGGUGAACUUACCAUCUACUCUCUUCUUCGGCUACAAGAUGGAGGUUACCAGAAGCGUAGUCUUCGAUAGGACUAGCUAUCCCCCUCUUAUUCCGGCAUUCUGCAAUCCAGUCCACAUAUGAUACCCCUUUUCCAUUUUAUACCAAUGCAUACAUAUGUAGUGUAGCUCCUUGCUUGCGAGUACUUCGGAUGAGUACUCACGGUUGCUUUGCUCCCUCUUUUCCCCUUUCUAUACUCGAUUGCUGCGACCAGACGAUGAAGUCCAGGAGCCAGACGCCACCGUCGACGACGACUCCUACUACACUAGAGGUGCCUACUACUACGUGCAUGCCGCUGACGACGACCAGGAGUAGUUUUGGAGGAUCCCAGGCAGGAGGCCUGCGCCUCUUUCGAUCUGUAUCCCAGUUUGUGCUAGCCUUCUUAAGGCAAACUUGUUUAACUUAUGUCUGUACUUAGAUAUUGUUGCUUCCGCUGACUCGUCUAUGAUCGAGCUCUUGUAUUCGAGCCCUCGAGGCCCCUGGCUUGUAAUAUGAUGCUUGUAUGACUUAUUUUAUUUGUAGAGUUGUGUUGUGAUAUCUUCCCGUGAGUCCCUGAUCUUGAUCGUACAUGUUUGCGUGUAUGAUUAGUGUACGAUUGAAUCGGGGGCGUCACAGUAAUUUAGUAACAUGAAAAUUUCUACAACCAUAUUUUCCUCUCUCAUAAUAAUUAUAUGUAGGAUCAUAAGCAAAUUCAACAAUAUAGCUAUCACAAAACAUAUUCUUAACACGAUCCACAUGUAUGCAAAGUUGACACUCUUCCAAAAUAGUGGGAUUAAUAUUAACUAAAGUCAUGACCUCUCCAAACCCACUUUUAUGAAAAACUUCAUAAGAUUGAACAUUCUCCAAAUAUGUGGGAUCUAAAGUUGACACUCUUCCAAACUCACUUUCAAUAUUAUUGCAAACAUUAUUAUCAAUGUCAUAUUCAUCAUGGGGCUUAAAUAAAUUUUCAAGAUCAAAAGAAGAAUCACCUCAACCAUGAUCAUUGCAACAAAUAGUAGCCAUAGCAAAACUAGCAUCCCCAAGCUCGAGGUUUUGCAUAUCAUUAACACAAUUUACCUUAAGAGAAUUUAUGAUAACAUCAUUGCAAUCAUGCUUUUCAUCGAAGGAACUAUCAAGUAUGGGUGCAAUAGCAACGAUCUCAUGUUUAACAUAAGGAACUAUAGCAAAUUCAUCUUCAUAAAUAUUGGCAUCAUGGCCACAAGAAUAGCAAGCAUCAUGUUCAUCAAGGGAUAUUUCAAUCAAAUCAUCAGAAUCAUAAUUAUCUAUAGAUUCAUGCAUAUCAUUUUCUUCCGAAACAACGGCCAUUCUAUGAAUAAAUUCUUUGACAUAGACAUUAUGAGCAUAGUUUUCAUAGCAAUAUUUAAGUAUGUCAAAACUUUCAGAUUCGUAGAGUAAUAUCAUACUUUUCAAUAAAACAAGCAACUUCAUAAGCACCCUUAAAAGCAACAAAUUCUUCAAUUUGUUUGAUACUGUAGUAACUAUAAAUACCCUUUGCAUAAGAAGAUAAGAUUUCAUUGUCAUUAAACUCACAUAGAUAGGGGAGGUGUUUUUAGGGUUCUUAGAGCAACAAGUAAAAUCAUAAAUUUUACAAAGAUUCCAAGCAUAACACAACAAUCUAUUUAUUUGAUUCCAUAAGAGUCUCCCUUUUUCAGAAAAACGGUGACACACAAAAUGAGCAUGCUCAUCUAAAGAUUUCCCAUCAACUAGGCUAGCUGGGGUUUCAGCAUGAGCGCAUAAGGAUCGAAGAUGAUCCAAGUAGAACACUUUAAGUGGAUCCAUAUCAAUAGAUUUUUACCAAGCAAAGAUGCAAGCAAAUAAAAGGCACAUGGAAACAAAAACAAAGAUACAUAGGGGAGAAGGCAAAGAAAAGGCAAAGGUUUUCGAAAAUCAUUUUAGAAGUGGGGGAGAGGAAAACGAGAGGCAAAUGGCAAAUAAUGUAAUGCGAGGGAUAAGAGUUUGUGGUGGGUAUUUGGUAUGUCUUGACUUGUGCGUAGGCGACGCCAAAAAUGACUAGUUGCUGGUAGAUCAAGUCUUUGACUUGACUUGGUGCAACCUCCUCGACAACGAUGCCAGAAAUCCUUCUUGCUACCUCUUGAGCAUGCAUUGGUUUUCCCUUGAAGAGGAAAGGAUGAUGCAGCAAAGUAGAGUAAGUAUUUCCCUCGGUGUUUGAGAACGAAGGUAUCAAUCUAGUAGGAGGUAACACGCAAGUCACCUAGUAUCUGCACGAACAAACAAGAACCUCGCAACCAACGCGAUAAAGGGGUUGUCAAUCCCUUCAUGGACACUUACGAAAGUGAGAUAUGAUAGAGAUAAUAAGAUAAAUAUUUUUGGUAUUUUUAUGAUAUAGAUUGGAAAGUAAAGAUUGCAAAAUAAACUAUGAUAGAAAUAUCAAAUAGAUAUGAAAAUAAUAUGAUGAAAGAUAGACCCGGGGGUCAUAGGUUUCACUAGUGGCUUCUCUCAAGAUAGCAAAUUCUAUGGUGGGCGAACAAAUUACUGUCAAGCAAUUGAUAGAAAAGCGAAUAAUUAUGAGAAUAUCUAGGCAUGAUCAUGUAUAUAGGCAUCACAUCCGCGACAAGUAGACCGAAACGAUUCUGCAUCUACUACUAUUACUGCACACAUCGGCCGCUAUCCAGCAUGCAUCUAGAGUAUUAAGUUCAUAAAAACAAAGUAACACAUUAGACAAGAUGACAUGAUGUAGAGGGAUAAACUCAAGGAAUAUGAUAUAAACCCCAUCUUUUUAUCCUCGAUGGCAACAAUACAAUACGUGCCUUGCUUCCCCUGCUGUCACUGGGAAAAGACACCGCAAGAUUGAACCCAAAGUUAAGCACUUCUCCCAUUGCAAGAAAGAUCAAUCUAUGAUAGAUGGCAACAAUACAAUACGUGCCUUGCUGCCCCUUGCUGCCCAUAUUUCUUUUCACAUAGUUAUUCCACACUUAACUUGAUAAUUAAGUAGAUUAUAUUAAGAAAAUACAUCUCAAAUUUCUUCAACAAGAAUAACCACUCAAAUAUAUAUUUAUAUUCAUACACCUCAAACAGUACAGCUGUACAAGUGUAUUACAAAUCUUUGGAAAAAGAAAAUGGAGGGAGACUAAACUAUGCUAAUCUAUACAACAAUGCCAAACAAACUUAGACCAACCUAAAAAUAUCUCUGGGUCAACCAGAAUAGCAGGACACAUUUGAGACACACACUGACCACCACCCUCACGUGCACAAUAGAUUAAUAGUCAAUGGGUCAGCAAUAUAGUCUAUGUAUGGGCUUCAACCUUCAGCCAAUUAGAAGCUAGCACCUGUGAGAACAAUGGAGAAGGGGAUGGGCAGCCAUACCAGCCAAGGAAGAUGGUUUUCUGAUAUUAAAAGAAGAGACAGCAGAGCAAGCCAUUGCCAAGACUUCACACAUCUCCAUUUUUCCCCAAAUAGCCAAACCAGCAGCUUGUCUUCCUCCCACUGUCUUCAUCUUUCUAUCUGCAACCAACAAAGAUCCAAGAAAAAUAAGUAGAGAUGGUGAGCUGAGAAAUCAUAGUAGAUCGAAGGAGGAAGGCUAGAGCAAGAAGUUAGCCUACUGGACUGGGAUCUGGAAGUAGGAGCAGCACUAGUAGGAACAACAGAGAAGGCAAAAGAAGAAAGGUGAGUUCUUCUUCUUCUGUCAUUCCUUUAGCAGUCACACUCACAAAGAAGCCCAACCCAGAUGCACCCACAAUAUUCCUCACUAGUUCUUCACAAAUGCACACAAAAGCUAAAUCAUUCCAGUAGUAUCAUCUAUCACAGAUCUUAAAAUCAACAGUACAAGAAAUCAUGUAUAAUGCCUUAAUCAAGUAAAAUAAAAUGGAGCAAGAUAACGUACAACAUUAGUACACCAACAUCUUGCACAAUAGGAACUGAUUCAGUACACACACAUGCACAUGAGACUAAAUUAAUUUACCAAAUCUGAGAACUUGAGCAUAAAAAAGAAAGAAUUAGGGAGGGGACAAGGGCAUCACUAACCCGCACUUAUGCUCGAUCUGCUCCAUGGCCAUGCCUUUGAAUUCUUAUCUGCAACACCCAGCGGCACCGCAGACACCAACACCGACAGCUUCAAUCUGGAGCAGAUGAAUCACAGCACAACAAGAACCUAACCUCCAAGUCAAAUCUGAGAGGGGAUUAGAGAUUAGGGAUUUGGGAUCAGGGGAGAGAGAGAGAGGUCCGGCAGUGGCGGAGCAGCAUGUUCCCAUCGCUGGCGGCGUGGCCGAUCUGUCUAGGUUAGGAGCAGAGGAAUAGGAGGGAGAGAAGACAUGUGCGUGUGUUCUGUUCUUUUUUUUUUUGAACUGGUGUGUUCUGUUCUUGGUGGACUAGUAUUGGUGUGUGUUGUGUUCGAUGGAGGACUAGUAGAGGAGAGAGAGAGACUUGGAAAUUGAGAAAGGGAGAGGGCACGUGGAGGUUUCUAGUAGUGGUAAUUACCCAGGUGCACAUCUAAUAAUUGUCUAUUCUAAAUCCACCUACUAAAGCAAUCUUAGUAAAAAAGGAAAAAUAGGUAAUAAAAGAAAUAAUUAUGUCCGACUGUAAGAUGACCACACUGCACCGACGUAUAAUUUUAUUUCCCUCGUGUUCACUCGACUUAGUCUCGAAAUAUAUAUUUGCCGAACUGCAGGAAGCGAGUACAGCCCGGAGAAGGAGGCGCUACAGAAGCAAAUUGAGUCCGGAUCUGAGUACAAAAACUCAGGCAAGCUCUCCUUGAUCAGGCUGAGUAGAACUUUUUCUGAAGAAAAAAACACUAUUCUCUACUAUGUUAUCAUCAACUUGCAUAAAAUGGUUUGGUAAUAAAUUGUGUGGAGUGACUGUUGACAUAUAGUUGGGUUAGCUGAUGGAGCAGCUAAUCCAUUGAUUUAUUUAUUUUAUAAUUAUUCAGUGGGUAGAGGGCGCCCUAGAUGGACAUACGGGAAGGUGGGGCCCUCUACAUAUGGCUAGUAUAUUAAGAUUAAAUAACUUUCACUCAUUUUAUGUGCCAUACUACAACCGUAUCAACCAUGGUCUCAUCUAUGACGAGUUGAGCCCAACACCAUCAAGUUAUUAUACUCUUGACAUGGGUAAGUAGUAGUAGGAUGGGCGAUGAGUUCCCACGCUAAUGCCGGAUGAGUGCAUUAGCAAGCGCUAUAUAUUCAGCGUUGGUGGAGUGCGGGUUCCGAAACCCGACACAACAGCUAGUGACCACUAGCCGGGUGGAGAUAUAAUAUACAUAAUGGAAACAAGUUUUAUGUUCUGAACCAUGUCUCGCAUCUAAGGAAAUGCAGAUGGCAAUUAUGGUUUCGAGCUCUAUGGGUAAAGUGAUACAAACUCUGCAGAGUUAAAGUAAAACAUGAAUUCAUGCCAGUCUCUUGGAUUGGGGACUACGGGGACCUAAUGGUGGUCUAUCUCGCAAUACGAGUGUUUGAUAGUUUUUUAUAAAUUGAAAUAAACUUUCUGCAAAAAAUAUUUAUUUAUUUUACAGGAGUUGAGUUGAGGUAGGACUUGUUGAUUUAUAUUGAGCUAUCAUGAGUGUGCAUUUUUCUAUUUGAGAUUGCUGAGUACUUUGUACUCACUCUUGCUAUUAAUCGUCUCUUUCCUGGUGCAAAGCUUGUAUGAUAAUCCUACUGGACCAAGUGAGGAGAGCAAUGGUGAUGGAUACAACUACACAGGGGACAUAGAUGUGGAUCCAUCCAGUGCCAUGUACGAUCUGGAUGCUACAUAUGGGGGCUGGGAUGAAUAAGUAACUAUGAUCUAGCUAUGUAAUCCAAGAACUAUUUUAUCACAAUCAAAUCUUGGACCGCUAGUUGGAACUCCAGUUUUAGGACAUGUAAUAAUUUGAUGAACAUGUGAGAAGCCUACUUGAGACUUCAGCCCUGUGUGGCAUGGUAUUGUAAUAUAGAUGACCAUCUCUAGCUAUUCCUUGUUGCAAAUCUCUGACAUGAAUUAUUAUUUGAAAACACAAGAUUUUGUCAAGAAAUAAUCCAAGGACUAGUGCAUUAUCUAUAUUAAUAAUGACACGGGUCGUCACAGGUGGUAUCAGAGCAAUGGUUUCGAGGGCCACACAGAUAGUGAGAGAUGGUUGGAAUAGUUUAGUUGGAACCCAUACUUGCUAUAAUGCACCACUAAUUAAUUCCAUAUCAUAUUAUUCUAUCCAGUAACUUUAGAUGACUACCAUGCUAAUUAGAAGCCUGUUGCAGGAUGGUUUGAGUUAGAAUUCCACCAUCAAGGGUUCAUGGCCAGCAUGUCCUACUACUUUGGAAAAUGAUGCAGGAGCUUGGGGCACCAUGUCCACAAUUCUUUGAAGAGAUGCCAGAUGAUGGAACACACUCCUACGGACGCGUAGUUGUGGUACUCAACGGUGUUCCAUCAGACAUGGACUUCUACGCGGAGCUCUCCACAAUGCAGCGGUCCUUCGAUGACACCCUACCAAUGCAAGAGGUUGCCAAGGAAGCUGUGCAUGGACUGCGAGCACGCUUUGGUGAGAAUUGCGCACCACCGGAUACCGUGACUUGCCAGCACUUGAUUCUGGAAGUUUUGGGCAAAACCAUCAGCAAGGACUAGAGUAGCAAGCCUGGGUGUCGGGUCUUCAUCAGCACAACCAACACCUGCCGCUUCAACAGUUAGCACCACUUCUAGUAUGACAAUGAUUGCUGAUGCGAUGAUGUAUCAUACAAUGAAGGAGGAGCUUAUUAGACAUCGGGAAGCAACCCAAUUCUGGUAUCAAUGCUAUCAGAUGAGCGGACAUGAUAGGAUUAUGCUUUAGGGAGCACUAAAUGCUAUGCCGGGAGGUCCUCUUAAUCCUAUAAUAGUACCAGGUGAUGUUCAAGAGGAAGAAGGGGAGGAUCCAGAUGAAGUAGAACUAGAGGAACCGGAAGAAGUUGAGGGAGUAGAGAACCCAGAUGAGCCACUAGUUCCACCCUAACCAGACGUACCACCUGCACCACCCCAGCCACUACCUGAACAUAUAGCUGAACCAGAACCAGCCCUACAGCCAGAUAUAGAGCAGCAGCUACACCACUUCCCUAUCCCACGACCACACCAACCUGACUUUAUCCACCCACACAUGAGUGUCAGCUCGAGGGAGUACAGGGAGACUGCUACCUAUGCAAGGGUACUUGGACUUGGCGCGAGUGGCAGCGGCAGAAGCAAUUGAAGUGGCAGCGGUAGCAACUAUGGUGGUGGCAGCGGCAUCGCCUAAUCAAGUUCCAAUCUGCCAGACUCUUAGGCAUGGGACCCCUUGGUCAUAGACUAGUCUUUUGGGAUCAGCAGUAGUUAGUGUAGUGGCAGCCUGAAUAUGUGUGUUUAUGUAAGAUAUGUGUGAACUGCAAUGACAGAGUAUGUCCCCUAUUGUAACACCCCGGAUGUAACUUUCCCAAUUUGUACUCCAACUCUUGUCGUUUCCGGCGUUAAGUUAUUUUAUUUUUCUCAGGUUCGGGUUUUUGUCUCUGUGUGUUGUUGUCGUUGUCAUGCAUCUCAUAUCAUGUCAUCAUGUGCAUUACAUUUGCAUACGUGUUUCAUCUCAUGCAUUCGAGCAUUUUCCCCGUUGUCCAUUUUGCAUUCCGGCGCUUCGUUCUCCUCCGGUGGUCAUUUCUAGCCUUUUUUCGUGUGUGGGGAUUAAACAUUUCCGGAUUGGACCGAGACUUACCAAGCGACCUUGUUUUAUUACCGAUAGACCGCCUGUCAAGUUUCGUAUCAUUUGGACUUCGUUUGAUACUCCAAUGGUUAAUCGAGGGACCGAAAAGGCCUCUUGUGUGUUGCAGCCCAACACCCCUCCAAUUUGGCCCAAAACCCACCAAAACCCUCUCCUUCAUCUAGAUCGUUCGAUCACGAUCGCGUGGCCGAAAACCGCACCUCAUUUGGACUCUCCUAGCUCCCUCUAUGCCUAUAUAAAGGCCUCUCCCCGAAAUCCGGAUCCCCCCUCGUUCUAAACCCUUGUCCCCUUCGUCUCCACGCACCGACGGACAAAUAUCGUCCGGCCGGACACGUCCGGAGUCGCCGCCGCCCGCCCGCGCCUAUCAGGCGUCGCCACGUGGCACAACAGCCGCCGCCGCCGCUGAGGCCCGUUCGGCCCAGGGCGGGCCCUCGCCGCCGCCAACCGGGCCGCCGCCUNNNNNNNNNNNNNNNNNNNNNNNNNNNNNNNNNNNNNNNNNNNNNNNNNNNNNNNNNNNNNNNNNNNNNNNNNNNNNNNNNNNNNNNNNNNNNNNNNNNNNNNNNNNNNNNNNNNNNNNNNNNNNNNNNNNNNNNNNNNNNNNNNNNNNNNNNNNNNNNNNNNNNNNNNNNNNNNNNNNNNNNNNNNNNNNNNNNNNNNNNNNNNNNNNNNNNNNNNNNNNNNNNNNNNNNNNNNNNNNNNNNNNNNNNNNNNNNNNNNNNNNNNNNNNNNNNNNNNNNNNNNNNNNNNNNNNNNNNNNNNNNNNNNNNNNNNNNNNNNNNNNNNNNNNNNNNNNNNNNNNNNNNNNNNNNNNNNNNNNNNNNNNNNNNNNNNNNNNNGCCCCGUCGUCCAAGCUGCCGCCGCCGCCAAGUCCGGCGAUCCGGCCGCCCUUCGCCAUCCUCCCCGCGAACUCCGGCGAGAUCCCGCCAAGUCCGACCGACCACCACGACGCCAUCGCCGGCGACCUCGACUCCGUCGUGAACAGUGCCCCGACCGUGCCUCGGAUUCCGUGCCAACCCUAGAUCUGAGAGAGGUUGUUUUUUUUCACUAAGUCCCCAGAAAUUCCAGAUCCAUGUGCUCUUGUUCUUAGCCUCGUAACUUUGCAUUCGUAGCUCCGAUUUGGGCAUAUAGCAUAUCAAAAUGUUCAUCUCAAAGAGUACAUCAUUUCAUUCCAUUGCAUCAUUUUCAUUUGAGUUCAUCUUGAUGGCAGAAAUGCUGUUAGAAGAGGGAUACUUGAGAUAAUUGUCAGAUCUGCUGCUCCAUUUAGCUUUUUGUCAUUUUUGCCAUGAUUAAUGUGUGCAUGAUAUGCCCUGAUGUUCUACAUAUGUUUUGUUAAGGGUUUUGUCAUCUUUCCAGAGGUGCAACCCAUGUAUUUUUGUGAUGUGUGUGGUGACUAGUACAAGCUUGCAAAGUGGUGCACUUGGUAAUUCUGAUUUCAGGGACUUAGCAUUUCCACUAAGUCCUUGAUCUGUUUAUCUCAUGUUGCCAUAUGAUCAUGUUGUUUCCUAGUGAUCCGUGCCUCUUUUGAGGAUGAUCAGUAAGGAUGUUUUAUUAAUCUUGUAGUGAUCUAUCCAUCCAUGUGUUUGUUUGCAAUUAUGGAGCACCCUAGCUUGAGUCAAUCGAGCUCUACUUUUGCUACUUUGUGAAUCUGGGCAGAUUGUCAACUUGUUUGCAAUUUUGCCGAUGAUGUUGUAGGUGAUCCGUGCAUGCUAUGUUAUUGUUCUUGCCAUGUCUAGCUUGAUUUUUGUGUAUUCUUGAUGGUUGUAUGCUUAGUUUGUCAUGACUUUCUCCGUAGUGAGUGCAUCGAGCUCGUAAACAUGCCUACUUGAGAUAUGUUUCAGCAUGUGCCAGUUUUCACUAAGUCUGAAAACUGAUUAUGUUUUUGCCAUGUUCACAUGCUUGCAAUUGUAUUUUCUAAUCCCUUUUGGCUCAAGGUCACUAAGGGACUUUUGUUAAGCUCUUUGAGUAGCUCCAUGCCAUGCUUUCUUUUGCCAUGUUCAGUUCCUGCAGCACAUAGUUUUGUUGCUUCGAAGAGUGCUACCUGAUGUGAAAUUCCAGACAAGUGUUAAUUUCUGUUUGCCAUAUGCAUUUUUGUCGUGCUUGUUUGAACCUGUUAAUGGAUGAAUUGGCCGUUGCUCAGUGCUAGACUUUUGUUAAGCAUCUUGUAUGCAUCCCUUCCAUGUAUUUUGUGGUCAUGUUUGGAAGCUGUAGCAUGUUCAUCUCAUUGCAUUUAGAUGGCUACUUGCUGUAAAUCGCAGACCGAUGUCAUUUUUGAAUCGCUUGCCAUUUCCAAACCGUAACUCCGAUUCCGGCGUUCUUUAUAUCGUUUUCAAGCGAUUUCAUCUCAUCUUUCCAGUGGUACACUUGGAUUUUAAAGUUGAGGCCAGGUUCAUGCAUUCAUUGUCACAUCUUGCAUAUGCAUCCCGCAUCACAUCCCGCAUAGCAUAUCAUCUUUGCAUCAUCUUGUUUGAUCCUUGCACGUGGUUGAUUUGUGUCCUUGUUGCUUGUUUGUCUUGUUUGGGUAGAGCCAGGAGACGAGUUUGUUAACGAGGAGCCCGUUGAGUUUGCUUUCGAGGAUCCAAUCAACUCUGACAACUGUGCAGGCAAGAUGAUCAUACCCUCGAAAUCACUACUAUCUUUGCUAUACUAGUUUGCUCGCUCUUUUGCUAUGACCAAUGCUACGAUGCCUACCACUUGCUUUCAAGCCUCCCAAAUUGCCAUGUCAAACCUCUAACCCACCAUGUCCAAGCAAACCAUUGAUUGGCUAUGUUACCGCUUUGCUCAGCCCCUCUUAUAGCGUUGCUAGUUGCAGGUGAAGAUUGGAGGUUGUUCCUUGUUGGAACAUUUAUUUACUUGUUGGGAUAUCAUUAUAUUACCAUGUUAUCUUAAUGCAUCUAUAUACUUGAUAAAGGGUGGAAGGCGCGGCCUCUCGCCUAGUGUUUUGUUACACUCUUGCCGCCCUAGUUUCCGUCAUAUCGGUGUUAUGGAUUUUGCGUUCCUCACGCGGUUGGGUUAUAAUGGGAACCCCUUGAUAGUUCGCCUUGAUUAAAGCUUUUCCAGCAAUGCCCAACCUUGGUUUUACCAUUUGCCACCUAGCCUUUUCUUUCCCUUGGGUUCUGCAGACUCAAGGGUCAUCAUUAUUUUAACCCCCCGGGCCAGUGCUCCUCUGAGUGUUGGUCCAAACUGUCAGCCGCCGGUGGCUACCAGGGGCAACUCUGGGCUGGCCUACCGGAAGUUUAGACAAUCUGAGUGUGCCCUAAGAAAGAGAUAUGUGCAGCUUCUAUCGGGAUUUGUCGGCACAUUCGGGCGGUGUUGCUGGUCUUGUUUUAACCUGUCGAAGUGUCUUGAAGAACCGAGAUACCGAGUCUGAUCGGAACAUCUUGGGAGAAGGUUUAUUCCUUCGUUGACCGUGAGAGCUUGUCAUGGGCUAAGUUGGGACUCCCCUGCAGGGAUUUGAACUUUCGAAAGCCGUGCCCGCGGUUAUGGGCAGAUGGAAAUUUGUUAAUGUCCGGUUGUAGAUAACUUGAACCUUAACUUAAUUAAAAUGAAUCAACUGAGUGUGUUACCGUGAUGGCCCCUUCUCGGCGGAAUCCGGGAAGUGGACAUGGUGUUGGAGUAAUGUUUGCGCAUGUUGCUCUCUAGUUUCUCGCUCGCGCUUUGCCUCCUCUUCCCGCUCUCUUUUGCGAAUAAGUUAGCCACCAUUUUUGCUAGUCGCUUGCUGCAGCUCCACAUAUACUUUUACCUUGCCUUACCUAUAAGCUUAAACACUACUAGAAAAACCGCUACUAAUGACGCACCUAAUUUGGCCAUUAAUGGCGCAUCACCGGUGCGCCAUUACUAGCACGCCAUUAGUAUAGGUCACGGUGCGCCAUUAGUAUGCCUCCCAGGGGCCAUGUAUACCCAGGUGCUUUGGAUACUAAUGGCGCACCACAACUGGAUGCGCCAUUAGUAACCGCGGCAUACUAAUGGCGCAAUGUCCUNNNNNNNNNNNNNNNNNNNNUAGGAGGGGGAUGCGGGGGACGCGGAUCUGCGGGCGAAGCAGCGGACAAUUCUCCACUACUAGAAAAACCGUUACUAAUGGCGCACCUAAUUUGGCCAUUAAUGGCGCAUCACCGGUGCGCCAUUACUAGCACGCCAUUAGUAAUUUUUACUAAUGGCGCACCAGUGGUGCGCCAUUAGUAUCUGGUAUACUAAUGGCGCACCACUGGUGCGCCAUUAGUAUGCCUCCCAGGGGCCAGGUGCUUUGGAUACUAAUGGCGCACCACAACUAGAUGCGCCAUUAGUAACCGCGGCAUACUAAUGGCGCAAUGUCCUGUGAUGCGCCAUUAGUGAUGCGCCAUUUUGAAUCUAGAUCUGGAUCGUGAUUUUUUGCCCAUUUUUUGCUCGUUUUUUUUGCUUGUUUUUUGGCACGACAAUAUUCUCAAAUUUUGUUCCUGUUUUUGGAUCUUGUUGCCAUGGUCUUUUGCCGGAGAGGAGUUCGCCGGAGAGGAGGGNNNNNNNNNNNNNNNNNNNNNNNNNNNNNNNNNNNNNNNNNNNNNNNNNNNNNNNNNNNNNNNNNNNNNNNNNUCCUGUGAUGCGCCAUUAGUGAUGCGCCAUUUUGAAUCUAGAUCUGGAUCGUGAUUUUUUGCCCAUUUUUUGCUCGUUUUUUUGCUUGUUUUUUGGCACGACAUUAUUUCAAAUUUUGUUCCUGUUUUUGGAUCUUGUUGCCAUGGUCUUUUGCCGGAGAGGAGUUCGCCGGAGAGGAGGAGGAGGAGGUCGCUGGAGAGGAGGAAGGAGAAACCAUGAGGUGAUGGGAGGAGCUCACCGGAGAGGAGGGAGGAGGAGCUCACCGGAGAGGAGGGAGGAGGAGCUCACCGGAGAGGAGGGAGGAGGAGCUCACUGGAGAGGAGGGAGGAGGAGCUCACCGGAGAGGAGGGAUUUUUCAUAUGGUGAUGGAUACAAGUGAGGAGAGCAAUGGUGAUGGAUACAACUACACAGGGGACAUAGAUGUGGAUCUAUCUAGUGCCAUGUACGAUCUGGAUGCUACAUAUGGGGGCUGGGAUGAAUAAGUAACUAUGAUCUAGCUAUGUAAUCCAAGAACUAUUUUAUCACAAUCAAAUCUUGGACCGCUAGUUGGAACUCCAGUGUUAGGAGAUGUAAUAAUUUGGUGAACAUGUGAGAAGCCUACUUGAGACUUUAGCCCUGCGUGGCAUGGUAUUGGAAUAUAAAUGACCAUCUCUAGCUAUUUCUUGUUGCAAAUCUCUGACAUGGAUUAUUAUUUGACAAGACAAGAUUUUGUCAAGAAAUAAUCCAAGGACUAGUGUCAUUAUCUAUGUUAAUAAUAACACGGGUCGUCACAAUCUAGUAGGCCAAACCAAACUGAUAAUUCAAAGAGACUUGCAAAGAUAUUUAAAUCACGCAUAAAAGAAUUCAGAGAAGAAUCAAAUAUUGUUCAUAGAUAAUCUUGAUCAUAAACCCAUAAUUUAUCAGAUCUCGACAAACACACCACAAAAAGAAUUAUAUCGAAUAGAUCUCCAAGAGAAUCAAGGAGAACUUUGUAUUGAGAUCCAAAGAGAGAGAAGAAGCCAUCUAGCUAAUAACUAUAGGCCCCAAGGUCUGUGGUAAACUACUCACACAUCAUCGGAGAGACUAUGGUGUUGAUGUAGAAGCCCUUCAUGAUCGAUUCCCAUUCCGGCGGAGCGCCGGAAAACGCCCCAAGAUGGGAUCUCAUGGGUACAGAAGGUUGCGGCGGUGGAAAUAGGGUUUCACGGUGCUCCUGGAUGUUUUCAGGGUAUAUGGGUAUAUAUAGGAGGAAGAAGUACGUCGGUGGAGCUGCGAGGGGCCCACUAGGAUGGGGGGUGCGCUAACCCCCCUGGGUGUGCCCUCUUGCCUCAUGGCCUCUUCGCUUCUUUCUUGACGUCCACUCCAAGUCUCCUGAAUCACGUUUGUUCCAAAAAUAACCCUCCCGAAGGUUUCAUUCUGUUUGGAUUCCGUUUGAUAUUCCUUUUCUGCGAAACACUGAAAUAGGAAAAAAGCAGCAAUUUGCACUGGGCCUUUAGUUAAUAGGUUAGUCCCAAAAAUAAUAUAAAAAGAUAUAUUAAAGCCCAUUAAACAUCCAAAACAGAUAAUAUAAUAGCAUGAAACAAUCAAAAAUUAUAGAUAUGUUGGAGACGUAUCAAUCAUCCGUAUCAUUGCUCCCAUGAUCUCGGAGUGAGACCGCGAGAGUGGUUAAUCUCCGGUAGAGCUCACGAGGUUCUUCAUCUUCAUUCAUUGCAAACUCAUCGGCUUCAUUUUGCACCACUUCACGAGGUUCUACCCGUAACUUUUCGAGUAGAUGAUUUUUCAUAUAAAAAACUUUUUCAUCCGAGUUAGUAUGCAAAAGUUAUGCCCAUUUUUACAAAUUCUCGUGAGAUUUUGCAAAUGAAGUCAAAAUUCAUUUUUGCAAAUUUUCCCAACAACUAGGCCACAUAUCACAUGGGAAACUUAUUUUUUUUAUUUUUUUGACAUUUUUAUCAUUUUCUUUUAUUUUUUUUAAACUGAAAAGGCGAUCCAUGGGGGGGGUGCAUUCGAUGGAAGUGGUGGCCAAGGUUACUAAUGGUGCACCGUGGCAUGGUGCGCCAUUACUAGUUUAACUAGUAAUGGCGCGCCACGCCGACGGUGCGCCAUUAGUAGUUUUGAAAAAAAUUCAAAAAAAAAGUUUUAAUUUUUUUUUACUAAUGGCGCACCGUGGGAGUGGUGCGCCAUUACUAGUUCAAACGCACCACUCCCACGGUGCGCCAUUAGUAGUUUUGAACAAAAUUUAAAAAAAAAAUUUACUAAUGGCGGACCGUGGAUGUGGUGCGCCAUUAGUGUUUUGGACACUAAUGACGCACCAACACAUGGUGCGCCAUUAGUAUAUAGUAAUGACGCACCAUAUGUCUGGUGCGCCAUUAGUGUCAAUUCCAUCUAUAGCCCUUUUCCUAGUAGUGAAAUAGUCUUGAUCACGAGGGUGCAAGAUUGCUGAGUCCCUGUGGCUCAUAGAUUACUAUUACACCAGAUGCAGGGCCCGAUGAUUCUGCUCCAGGAGACGCGUUUGAGCUUAAGUGGGAGUUCGACGAAGACUCUCAACGUUACUAUGUUUCCUUUCUUGAUGAUCAGUAGUGGUGUCUAGUUGGGGGUGAUCGGGACCGUGUCGCAUGUUGGGUUCUUUUUUAUUUUGGCGCCGUAGUCGGGUCAUGAGUGUUUGGAUGAUGUAAUGUUAUUUAUGUACUUGAUUGACGUGGCGAGUGUAAACCAACCAUGUUAUCUCCCCUUUAUUAUUUAUAUUACAUGGGAUGUUAUGAAGAUUGCCUAACUUGCGACAUACGCCUUCAAUGCGAUUAUGUCUCUAAGUCGUGCCUCGACACGUGGGAACUAUAGUCGCAUCGAGGGUGUUAUACCUAUGUACUAGUAGGAAUUGAACCAUAUGUAGUGUUUAGUGUAGUCAUAAUGUAGUUAUGCCCCUAAUUAAGACCUAUGUGAUGUACCGAUCUAACAUAAGUGUUUGCCCUGUAGUAUAUAACUUGCGUGCAUUAGGAGGCUCGUAGUACUUUACUAUUGUGUGCUUUAGUGAGUAAUCAGAGUGAUAUUAUUCUGGGUAGUAAGAGGCAUUUGCCACCAUGAUUGCACUUCAUGUUUGGUUACUACAAAUUUAAGGAUGGCAUGCUAUUUAUUGAUAUCACUUGCACUUGUGCUUGCUGAUUGAAUCAAUCUUUACCUAAUUAUAUAUAUUAUAUAUAUAAUAAUAAAGGGGCUAACGCUUCUUCCUCCUUAAUUUUCGUCCGUUUUUGUAUGUCAAAGGUUUUUUUCGGUCCGUCCUUCAAAGGUUCGUAUGUCGUUUAAUCGAUCUGUUCGUUCGGUUAAAACCAAAUCUGAUCGAAAGAAGCUACAUGGACCACACGCAACGAGGCCGAAUUAUUUCAGCCCGAGCUGGGCCAAAUUAUUCCGGCCCAUCCAGGCCGACCGACACAAAAAAUUGUUGCCCGGUGUGGCGAAUCGAACUUGCAACUUGAUGUGCGAAAUCUAAUAUUGCGGCCAAUUAAGCUAGCUCGUGUUGCAUGAUAAUAAAAAAUUGAUUCACCUAUAAAAUAGUCCCACCUCAUUUCCUUACAUUCAAUUUUCCUAAUUUAUAUACGUCUUCAUUUUUUCUAGGUAACAAGGAGCCAUCUCGAAAAUCAUUAAGGAAGGAAAUAAACCAUCCGUGGUAAGGAAGGAAAUAAAAAAGAAGGAAAGAAGGAUUGAAUAAAAGAAUGAAGAAGGAAAUAAGGAAGGUAAAGAGGAAAUAAAUAGGAGGAAAGAAUAAAGAUGGAAAGAAAGGCAUUGAAUGGAAGAAUAAAUAAUGAAAAAUGAAGGAAAUAAAAUAGAAGGAAAGAAUAAAAGAGGGAUUUUAGUUUGUGAUAGAGAACAAUAAUAAAGACGAGGAAAGAGGAGAAUUUUAACGUAGAAGCGCCAUGGCGCUCAAGUUUCUACUGCUAGAACGAAGUCGUGCGAACAGAAACAAAAGUAGGCAGCGAAUUGGAUCUUUUUAAUCAUAUUUUUUCUAUUUUUCUAUCAUAUUUAAAGUGGGGAAAAGAAAGGAGACGUGAACUCCUUUUUUAGCCGACUUGGAAUCCUAAACAUGUAGGAGUACAUGUCAAAGAGGAUGCAUCUUUUUUGUUAUUUUUUUUCAUCAAGUUAAAAAUUGGUUACAGAAGUAUAAAAAAAAUUGCUGCUCGCAAACAUUAAAACUUAAUGCAUGGCUGUUAAAGUAAAUAAUUAACACAUGCAUUUUCAUUAAUAAACAAAUAAAAAAAUGUACAUUGAAUGAAAAUAAAUAAAAUGUGAGUACGCACAAUUUUCCUAGAUCCAUAAUACGUAUACUUUCGUAUGCCCUAUGUUUGAGCAUGACUAUAGCUAGCUUGAGAAGAAAAGUUAGUGCAAGUCUCGAAACUCCAUUGUGUGGCAAUUGCUUCACUUUACUUUGUUUUAGUUCACAAAAGUUAAUGGGGUAAACUACCAUUUUAUUUUUAUAAGGACAAAAACAAUUAGUGCAUGUUAGGGUUAUAAAUGUGCAAAAAUAAUUGGUGGCUCACAAACAUUAAAACUUUUUUUUGCGGGGUCACAAACAUUAAAACUUAAUUCAUGGCCGGUUAAAUUAAUUAAUUAACAAAUGCAUUUUGAUUAAUACAAAAUCAAAAAUAUAGUGGAUUAAAAUAAAUAACAUGAUUUUUUUCCAGAGUAAGUAGAAAUAAUAUGAGUAACAAAACAUUAAUUUAAUUCAAGUAUAUAAUAGAUAAAUCCAAUCGGUUGCUCAUGUCAUGGUUUGAUUCUUUAUUGAGGAAAUUCAUUAUUUUUCUUCAUAAUCUCAAAGUAAUUUUUACCCCGCAAAAAAAAUCUCAGAGUGAUUUUGUUAGCUAGCCUAAACAUUAGUUACAUUAAAAGGUCGCAAAAUUUGAUUGUAUGUGCUAUUUAUUAUUAAUGAUAGGAAGUUUUGUUAAUAAGCACGUGCUACUCAUUUCUAGCAGCGUUUGUUUUGCUCUGUAGCAAAGUACAGAAGUAGUCUCGCGCACUACGACAACUGUCAGUCACGGUGGGAAGGGGGAUAGGCGGUGACACGGAAAGGCGUCUGUUGAGAAAAAUGACAUGGGCUUGUGGAGGUCUUGAGACUAUGCUUAUUGAGAUAGGGGCAUGCGAUAUGUUUUCUCCCGUUGCAACACACGGGCAUUUUUGCUAGUAAUCAUGCAAAGAAUAUAAGCAACUAACAAAAAAAUGCAGGAUGAAUAACAAUGGUUUGACCGAGCAAGACCUUGUCUUCCGUUUGGGAUCAAGCGCCCAUGAUCAGCAUGGGGGUAAUCCAGCUUCAGAAGAUCAAAGUGUUCUACCUGGACCGGUGCGACUUCCAAGCAAUCCAGAAGUGGGCAAUGCUGAAACUUCUGGACUUAUGGGUGGAGAAGGCAAUCUGGGAGAUGUCCUUAAGUUCAUGGAGAAUUCUCAAAGGGAGUCCCAAGAGAGCCAGAACCGCUUCCUCAAAGCAAUACUGACAAGACUAGUUCUUGGAGGAGCAAACAUACCCAGUGCAUGAGUUAGUUUAGGAGAGUUUCUGAAAACUCAGCAACCUACAUUCUCCAAGGCAGUGGAUCCACUAGAGGCAGAUGACUGGCUGUUAGAAGUAGAACAUAAUCUAGAAACUGUAGGGUGCUCAGAUGAAGAAAAGGUGAGAUAUGCAUUGCACCUGCUAACCGGACCAGCAACAGCUUGGUGGAGAAAUUUUUGUCUUAACCAAGCAAAUAAUCAGCCUAUCACUUGGGAGGAGUUCAAGGAGAAUUUCCGUCAGACCCAUAUUCCAAAGGGAAACAUGGAUAUCAAAACGAGGGAGUUUCGCAAUCUGACUCAAGGUAGUAAGAGGAUAAACGACUACCUGAACCAAUUUAAUGAUUUGACGAGGUAUGCUCUAGAUGAUGUGAACACUGAAGCCAAGAAAGUGGAGAAGUUUAUGGAGGGGUUGCAUCCAUUCCUGAAAAUGCACCUCUCGAUUCACGGGAUCACCAAGUUUCAAGACCUUGUCAAUAGGGCCUUCAUACUUGAGAAUGAGCAUUCCAACCUAAGUGAGGAGAGAAGGAAGAAAGCAAGGGUAGACCCACGCCCCAUGAUACAUCACCCACGUCUUAUGAUGCAUGGACCAGUGCGUCCUCAUAUGCCACCACCACGGCCUAGAUUCCCUACUCAGCCAACCUUUGUUCCUAAAUGUGGGAAGUGUGGAAAAGGUCACGCUACUCGUGAUUGUAUGACGGGUACAUGCGUUUGCUUCAAGAGUGGGAGGCCAGGACACCACAAGAUCAAUUGCACCUCUCCUCCCGCAAAUCCUACAACGCCACCUAUGCAGCAGACUCAAGUGCAUCGUCCACCAGCUGGGCAAGGACAAGGAGGACCUAUGAACUAUACAACAAGAGGAGCUGGGCGUGGAGGACAAAUAGGAGGACAACCUAGGCUGAAUUAUGUGGCUAUAGAGCAACUAGGAGAAGCUACAAAUGUUGUCAUCGGUAAACUACUCAUUCCUCCUUCAAUUGCUAUAGUUCUUUUUUUACACCGGUGCCACACACUUAUUUAUUUCCCAGUAACUCGUGAAUAAGAGCAUGCACACCGUUUGAGAAAGCUUUAGGAGUUAGCUCACCUGGAGGCAAGAUUGCAGUAGAGGCAAUGGGCAGAAAUCAACCAAUAAUAAUCCACAACACCAAAUUUUCAGCAAACCUGCAUGUCAUAGAGAUGCCAGGUUUAGAAAUAAUCCUUGGGAUGGUUUGGUUAGCUGCCAAUAUAGUGAAAGUAGAUUAUGAACUUAAAGGUGUAUAUAAAAGUAUUACCUAUAAAAGGGGUUCGACACUUUGGAAUCAAAGGGAAGCUAAGUCCUAGAUAUGUUGGGCCCUUUAAAAUUUUAGAGAAGGGGAAAUCUGCUUAUAAGUUGGAAUUACGACAACACCUAUCAAGGAUUCACAAUGUCUUCCACAUAUCUCAACCUAAGAAAUGCAACAAGCCACCACCACAAGUGUCAGACUUGGAGAUUGAUCUAAGACCUGACCUGACCUAUGAAGAGAGCCCAUUGAAGAUACUAGAAGUUGAAAACCGCAAGCUCACGACAAGAACCAUUCAGUUCAGCAAGGUAGAAUGGAGGAACCACUCCAUUCGUGAGGCGACGUGGGAGAGGAGGAAGACCUAUGAGUGACCUACUCAAACCUUUUCAUGUAGGUUUUGAUUUCGAGGACGAAAUCUUUUUCUAAGGAGGGUAGGAUGUAACGACCCGUAUUUUUUCACAUAGUAAUUCCACACUUAACUAGAUAAUUAAGUAGAAUAUAUUAAGAAAAUACAUCUCAGAUUUCUUCAACAAGAAUAACCACUAAAAUAUAUAUUUAUAUUCAUACACGUCAAACAGUACAACUGUACAAGUAUAUUACAAAUCUUUGGAAAAAGAAAAUGUAGGGAGACCAGACUAUGCUAAUCUAUACAACAAUACCAAACCAAACUUAGACCAACCCAAAAAUAUCUAUGGGUUAACCAGAAUAGCAGGACACAUUUGAGACAGACACUGACCACCACUCUCACGUGCACAAUAGAUUAAUAGUCAAUGGGUCAACAUUAUAGUCUAUGUAUGGGCUUCAACCUUCAGCUAAUUAGAAGCUAGCACCUAUGAGAACAAUGGAGAAGGGGAUAGGCAGCCAUACCAGCCAAGGAAGAUGGUUUUCUGAUAUUAAAAGAAGAGAGAGCAGAGCAAGCCAUUGCCAACACUUCACACAUCUCCAUUCUUCCCCAAAUAGCCAAACCAGCAGCUUGUCUUCCUCCCACUGUCUUCAUCUUUCUAUCUGCAACCAACAAAGGUCCAAGAAAAAUAAGUAGAGAUGGUGAGCUGAGAAAUCAUAGUAGAUCAAAGGAGGAAGGCUAGAGCAAGAAGUUAGCCUACUGGACUGGGAUCUGGAAGUAGGAGCAGCACUAGUAGGAACAACAGAGAAGGCAAAAGAAGAAAGGUGAGUUCUUCUUCUUCUGUCAUUCCUUUAGCAGUCACACUCACAAAGAAGCCCAACCCAGAUGCACCCACAAUAUUCCUCACUAGUUCUUCACAGAUGCACACAAAAGCUAAAUCUUUCCAAUAGUAUCAUCUAUCACAGAUCUUAAAACCAACAGUACAAGAAAGCAUGUAUAAUGCCUUAAUAAAGUAAAAUAAAAUGGAGCAAGAUAACGUACAACAUUAGUACACCAACAUCUUGCAUAAGAGGAACUGAUUCAGUACACACACAUGCACAUGAGACUAAAUUAAUUUACCAAAUCUGAGAACUUAAGCAUAAAAAAAAAGAAUCAGGGAGGGUACAAGGGCAUCACUAACCCGCACUUAUGCUUGAUCUGCUCCAUGGUCAUGCCUUUGAACUCUGAUCUGCAACACCCAGCGGCACCGCGGACACCAAUGCCGGCGGCUUCAAUCUGGAGCGGAUGAAUCACAACACAACAAGAACCUAACCUGCAAGUCAAAUUUGAGUGGGGAUUAGAGAUUAGGGAUUUGGAUCAGGGAAGAGAGGGAGAGAGGUCUGGUAGUGGCGGAGCAGCAUGUUCCCAUCUCUGGCGGCGUGGCCGAUCUGGCUAGGUUAGGAGCAGAUGAAUAGGAGGGAGAGAAGACAUGUGCGUGUGCCCUGUUCUUGGUGGACUAGUACUGGUGUGUGUUGUGUUCGGUGGAGGACUAGUACAGGAGAG